GCGGUUGAAGGCGGAGAGAGCCCGCUCAAUGUUGGAGUUGAUGAGCUCGGCUCGGGCACGGUCACUUGCGAGCCGGGAGAGUACGAGGUCGGAGUAGCUGUCGUAUGGCGGCUUUAUGACGGAUGAAUGAGGAUGCAGGGAGAGGGACAAAACGGAGGAGGUGGAGGUGGGCUGAGUUUCUUCUGUUGACAAGAGUCGAAGUCUCUUGAAAACUGAAGCAGACACCACUUGAGGUGAAAAAGGACUGAGGGUGAAGGAGAAGAAGAAGAAGAUGAUGAUGAAGAUGUUAAUGGAAGGAAAUGGGCUUGGAGCUUUUCGAGCCAUGUAAAUGUUUGUGGUUUUUGCCGCAGCAGACAACAAACAAAGAAGACAAGUGAUGAGAAGUUUGGGAGAUGAGCAUGGGUUUAUUAUAUACACGUACGUCGAUCUGCAUGCAGGGCAUCAGUAGCGUAUUACUAUUAUUUAUUAAAGGUACAUAUCACAAAGGUCCAGGGGCGGAUUUAAAGGGGGGCACUGGGGGCACGGUCCCCCACUGCCCCCUUAAAUUCCUAUAAUACUCUUAUAAUUUUGACAUAAUUUUAGUGGUGUCUCUAGAAUUUUUUUUAAAAAAAAUAUAAAAGAAUGGGUCAUAAAAUUUAUAUCAUUCACUUUCCUCCUUUAAGAACCAAAUACCAAUUAUAUCAGUCAUUACUUUUGGUCCCCACUCCCCAAGUUCCCUUUACUCCUGUGGUCCCCUAUUUCACUUCACAACCCACGACUCCUCUUCUUCUGCACCCAACUAACUACUCUUUCUUUUUAUUACUUCAUCCAAUCAUCAUUAAUCAUUUACUUCCUUUGUCCCCCACUCUCCAAUUUUUCUUUGCUCUUCUGGCUCUUAGUUGUCCCCACUGAAAAUGGUCUCUCCCAUCAAAUAGUCCAAUCCUGGUUUUCCUGUCAUGAAAAUGGUGUUGUUGACUUCUUCACGCAGUCACGCAGUGUUCCAUUAAAGGAGUAAGCUUUUUGAAAACCAGGACCUGCUUUCUUCAGUUCAACUGCAAGAAACCAGUCCUUGAAGCUGACUUCUUUCCAAUUAAAUAACGUGAUACGGGGCACAAAGGAAGUAAAGGGACCUAGUCCGCCACUGAUUUGCAACUCUUUUCACCAAUUUUGGGAGACCAUCAAAAUUAGGUUCUAAACAAUUACUUCUUGUUAUUAUUUUAAAUUUGUUUGCAAAUAUAUUUCUAGAGCAUGAGACUAUUACUAUUUUAGAGAAAUUUGAAAAUUGAUUAGUUAAUGUAAUAACUAAUAAAUGGGUUAUUUGAUAAAUAUUUUAACUUGUGAAAUGGUGAUUUUAUAGAUUUAUAAUUUAUAAUUUAUUUUCCUUGAUUAGUUUCUUAUUUGGAGUUAAUGUAAUGAUGAAUAGAGGGCCAUUUGACAUAUAUUUUAACUUUUAAAUUAUUCUUGUAUGGAUCCUUUUGUCUAAUUAAAUUGAUUAGGUUCAUAUAUUGUGAUUAAUGAUUUGAUAUAGUAAUAAAUAAAUAAGUUGUGAUUUGAUAUAGUAAUGAUAUGUUGUGAUUAAUGAUUUAAUAAAUAACUUUAACUUGUAAAAUAGUUCUUGGAUAGAUUAUUAGAUUUUAUUGUACAUUUAAUAUUUUAAUUGGAUUAGUAUCUUAUAUAUUGAUUUUGAUUUCUUUAGCUAUGGAGAGAUAUUUCAAGAGGAAAUCAAUGGAAAAAGAGUCAUCUAAUAAAGAAGAAGCCAAGGAUAAUGAAAGUGCAAAAAAUGACAAUAAAAGAAGUUACUUGGAAAUUAACUUAGAUGAAUUACCUGCGGAUCCAGCCCAAAGAAAAAAAAUUGGGGAUUAUCAUCCAAACCUUCAAGAUGAAAUUCGGAGAUAUUGCUUACAAAAGGGACCAUGUCAACCUCAUGAGCAUGUUUUUCCACAAAGAAAGAUAGGAAAAAAGAUGCGUCGAUUUGUUCGGGGCUGGUUUGAUGAUUACAAGAAUUGGUUAGAAUAUAGUAUUGAAAAAGAUGCCGCUUAUUGCUUAUGUUGUUAUCUAUAUAGACCAGAUGUGGGUGAACAAUCUGGUGGUGAUAGUUUCAUUAAGGAAGGAUUCACAAAUUGGAAAAAAAAAGGAUAGAUUUGAUGUUCAUGUUGGUGGUCCUAAUAGUGCACACAAUCUGAGUUGGAGUAAAUGUCAAAGUUUAUUAAAUCAAAAUCAGCAUAUCGAAGUGGCAUUUUUUAAGCAAUCACAGAAAAUGAAGGCUGAGUAUCGGACUCGUUUAUUAGCCUCAAUAGAUUGUGCUAGAUUUCUCCUACAUCAAGGUUUGGCUUUUCGUGGUCAUGAUGAAUCUGAUACCUCUGAAAAUCAGGGAAAUUUUCUUGAACUUUUGCACUUCCUUACGGGUCAUAAUGAUGAUAUAAAGAAGGUUGUUCUUGAAAAUGCCCCUAAAAAUCUCAAACUCAUUGCUCCAGAUAUUCAAAAGGAUAUUUCAAAUGUUUUGGCGAGUGAGACUACAAUCAUUAUUGUAAAUGACAUUGGACAUGGAUUGUUUGCUAUUUUAUGUGAUGAAUCUCGUGAUGCAUCAACAAAGGAGUAAUUAGCAGUUGUUAUCCGUUACAUGGAUUCACAUGGAUAUGUGAUUGAGCGUUUUCUUGGUAUUCUACAUGUAAGAGAUACUACUGCUCUUUCACUUAAGAAAGCAAUUGAUGAUUUAUUUUCAAAGCAUGGUUUGAGCAUAUCACAAAUCCGUGGUCAAGGUUAUGAUGGUGCUAGUAACAUGCGAGGUGAAUAUAAUGGUUUAAAAACUUUGAUCAUGAAGGAAAAUGGUUCUGCAUAUUAUAUUCAUUGUUUUGCACAUCAGCUGCAAUUCUCACUUGUAAGGGUUGCAAAGAAACAUGUCCAAGUCUCUUCUAUGUAUAAUACAUUGUCUACCUUAGUGCAUGUUCUUGAAGGUUCAUCUAAAAGACAAGAAAUUCUUAGAGAACAACGCCUUAAGAAAGUCGUUGAUGAUCUAAUGACUGGAGAUCUUGUGAGUGGUCGGGGCUUAAAUCAAGAAACUAGCCUUCAAAGAGCUUGUGAUACACGUUGGGGUUCACAUUUUGGCUCGUUAUUAAAGUUGGUUCUUAUGUAUGAUUCUGUAAUAGAUGUUCUUUUGAUAAUUGAAAAUGAUGGCCUGGUGGAGCAAAGAGGUCAAGCAUAUGCACUUCUUAAUUCUUUGCAAUCUUUUGAAUUUGCAUUUAUUUUACACUUGAUGAAGAAAAUCAUGGGAAUAACGAAUGUACUAUCUGAAGCAUUACAAAGGAAGGAUCAAGAUAUUGUGAAUGCUAUGGGUCUGGUCAAAGUUUCUAAGCAACAGUUACAAGCUACUAGGGAAGAUGGAUGGGAUUUUUUACUUGAUGAAGUUUGUUUGUUUUGUGAAAAACAUGAGAUCAUCAUUCCGAAAAUGGAUGAAAUGUUCAUUACUAGUGGGAGAUCUCAAAGAAAAGUUCAGUAAAUUGCAAACCUUCACCACUAUCGAGUUGAGCUAUUUUGUGCUGUCAUAGAUUUACAACUCCAAGAACUCAACAAUCGUUUCAAUGAAAUCAAUAUGGAGUUGCUUUUGUGUAUGGCAUGCUUGAACCCAAGUGAUUCCUUUGCAGCAUUUAAUAAGAAAAAGUUGAUUCGUCUUGCAGAACAUUAUCCUUGUGAGUUUUCUAAGUUGGAUAUUCUUGCACUUGACACUGAAUUGGAUACUUAUAUUAAUGACUUGAAAUCAGCUAAGGAAUUUCUCGAUUUAAGAAAAAUCCCUGAUCUAGCUCAAAGGUUGGUGGAGACUAAGAGAGAUAUUGUGUAUCCAUUAGUUUAUAUGCUCUUAAAGUUGGCUUUGAUUUUGCCUGUUGCUACAGCUACAGUAGAAAGAGCUUUUUCAGCUAUGAAUAUAGUGAAGAAUCGGUUACGAAAUAGAAUGGGAGACACUUGCAUAAAUGAUUGUUUAGUUACUUAUAUUGAGAAAAAUAUACUUCGUGAAGUUGAAAAUGAGAAAGUUGUAAAUCGUUAUCAAAAUAUGAAAACUCGUCGUGAACAAUUGUAAAUAGUUUAGUUUGUUUUUGAAAUAAAAUUAUUAUUACAUUAAUAAUUUUGAGUUUGUCUUUUUAUGUUUUUCAUGGAAUAUACAUAUCAUUUGUACUUGUUAGUGAAUUUAUUUAUUUUUUGCUCAAAAAAUUAAAAAAAAAAGAGUAGAUAAAAAAUUUUAGUGUUAUUUUUGCUCCCACUGAGAUUUUUUUCUGGCUCCGGCACUGCAAAGGUCCAUAUCAUUUAAUUUCCAUAGAAAAGUAAAAGUUUGGUACCUUAACAUACACAAUUAAUCACCAGUCCUUCAAAUCAAGAUAUGUACAAUGUGUAAGUGAGAAUGUACAACUGAUAUUCCUAGUCUACUCUACGAGUAUCGUUACCGUAUGAAAGAAAAGGAAAGAACGAGAAGAUUUUAACAACCUUUAGUAGGCUUUUUUUUUUAAUCGACAUUUUGAGUUCUGGGAGGGAAGACUUUUUAGAGUCUUGCAGGAGUCCGUCUAAAGGGUAUUUGGAAAAUUCGACUGUCUAAUAAUCGAAUACAAUGGUGGUUCUUUCUUUCCUUUUUUUUCCUUUUUUUUUUUUUGAAUAUUUGGUACAUAGAGGUUCCAACUUUUACAAGGAGAAAGAAAAAUAGGAGAGUUUAAGGGUCAAGACCUUACGGUCAGUCACCUAAAAGCAUCCGUGCCAAUUGAGUUGAGUUUUGGGAACAAAAUUUUGGCCUUUCCAUUAUAGCAGGAUACAACUAAAUGCCCGGAUUAAUUAACUCAAUUUCCAUAAAUUUAAAAAAAAAGAGUAAGAAAUUGGUACCUCUGAUCAAUUCCAAGGGUAGAUAUAUAAUAUAAUUAUUAGUCCUUCAAAUGGAGACGAGUGUCAGUAGACUUAAAAGGAGUCCAUGAUAUUGAUAGUUGGUCUUUUGGUCACAAUAAUUAUUUCGAGAUGUUUGAUUCUUACUACCCGCCACCACUACUACCCGCCACCACCACCCACUCCUUCCUCCUUUCUCUUCCCCCUCUCUCUUCCCUUUCCCUCCCCCCGCCCCCCUUAAUCUGGCCGCAACCAAAGGCUGCGAUCUGGUCGCGGCCAGAAAGUCUGGUAGCGACUAGAUUGCGGCCUCUAGUCACAACUAGAGACCUUGAUCUGGUCUUUGGCAGAUUGAGGGAGGAAGAAAAUGGAGGGGGGGUAUUGGUGGUAGGCGGGGAUGGUGGUGGGUGGUGGGUGGUGGUGGCGGGUAGUAGUGGUGAUACGUGGAAAAUGUUAUAUAAUUCAAUUUAAAAAAAUUUUUUGUGUGUAUUUGUGAAUUAUUUUUUAUAUAUUGUAUGGAUAUGAUGUUUUUGAGUUGUUUUUAUUUGUGUAUUAUUCUAACAUUGUAUUUGAAAAUUUUAUUUUUGAAAAAUAGAUUUUUGGAUUUUUUGGUAGAAAAAUAUACUAUAUCAAUUUGAUGUAUGUGAGAUAAAAAUAAGUGUUUGAAAAUAUGAUCAUGAAAAAUAUAAAAAAAAUUCUGCAGAAAAACUUCAAGGAAUUUCUCGAGAAAAAGAAAUCCAAAAUCCUAAUUUUUUUUUCCUUUUGUUUUUAGAAAAGGAAAAAGUGCAAGCCAAAAAGCAAUAAAAUGGAUAACUUCUUUUCAUAUGAAUAUAUGAUGUUAAGUACUUUAUUUACUCAUAAAACCCAUAUUUUGGUUUAAGAAAAGCAAUACCUAAUGAAAUUGUAAAAUGAGAACGGUAACAAAGAUUAUAGUCUAAAGUACUCGUUUGAUAGGCUAGUGCAAUUUGGCGUUUCACUUGUACGCUUCAAAUGCACAUUAUCAAUCAGGCAUCCGGACGCUUGGCUAUGCAACUUGAACAAUCAUCACAUGUAGAACUGACUUUAUUCUAGUAUUUUAUAGGAAAAUAUGUACUCAAUUAGCCUGAAGUGAAUUAAAUCAUGAUUGUCAGCAUUUUAAACUUUUGAUGGUGAAGGCCUUAAUUGCUUGACAACUCCCAUGAUUAUUAUGGCUAAACUACUCAAGUUGCCUCGUUAUACUUCCAAAAAAAAAAAAAAUCUCAAUUCAAUCUUAACACUAAGAAGUGACUUGAUUUAAUCCCUUGGAAAUAACUCAUGUCAUUUUUAUGUUGAAUUAGUAGCCAAAAGAUUUAAUCGUGUAUUUUCAAUAGAACGGGGUGUAUGUGUUAUAUCAACGAUAUAUUGUUGAUGAUCAGACUAUAUGAAUUCCAAUUCUUUCAGCAAAGGUGAUAUCCAAACAACAAAAUUUCUUCAAAGACAUCUAAUAAAGAGAUUACCAAGCACCCAUGUUAUUGUUUAAGCAAUAUUAGUAUGUUUUCAUAAACAGCAUUUUAUUUGGGUUGAAAUCAAAUCAACACCUAUAUGCAUUUCAUAAACAGCAUUUUAUGAGGGAUGAAUGAGGAUGUAGGGAGAGGGACAAAACGGAGGAGGUGGAGGUGGGCUGAGUUUCUUCUGUUGAGAAGAGUCGAAGUCUCUUGAAAACCGAAGCAGAUACCGCUUGAGAUGAAAAAGGACUGAGGGUGAAGAAGAGGAAGGAGAGGAUGAUGAAGAUGUUAACGGAAGGAAAUGGGCUUGGAGCUGUUCGAGCCAUGUAAAUGUUUGUGGUUUUUGCCGCAGCAGACAACAAACAAAGAAGAGAAGUGCUGAGAAGUUUGGGAGAUGAGCAUGGGUUUAUUAUAUACACGUACGUCGAUCUGCAAGCAGGGCAUCAGUAGCGUGUUACUAUUAUUUAUUAAAGGUCCAUAUCAAAAAAAAAAAAAAUUUUUUGAUAACAAAGGUCCAUAUCAAUUUAAUUUCCAUAGAAAAGUAAAAGUUUGGUACCUUAACAUACAAGAAGGAGAGUACAUACACAAUUAAUCACCAGUCCUUCAAAUCAAAGAUAUGUACAAUGUGUAAGUGAGAAUGUACAACUGAUAUUCCUAGUCUACGAGCAGGGGCGGAGCCAGAAAAAAUUCUUAGUGGGGCAAAGCAACACUAAAAUUUUUUACCUACUAUUUUUCUAGUUUUUUAAACAAAAAAAAAAUUCACCAACAAGUACAAAUGAUGCAUAUAUUCCAUGAAAAACAUAAAAAGACAAAUUCAAAAUUAUUAAUGUAAUAAUAAUUUUAUUUCAAAAAUAAAUUAAACUAUUUACAAUUGCUCACUGCGAGUUUUUAUAUUUUGAUAACUAAUUUGGUUGUGGAAGUAAGAAUGGCUCUCGGUUGUGGAGGGAAAAUGGGGGACUAGUGGAGGGAAGGGAAAUUGGAAAGUGGGGACAAAGGAAGUGAAUGAUAUGAUUGGAUGAAUUGAUCAAGAGAAAGAGUAACUAGCUGCUUGGUUGUGGAAGGUAGUGGCUCUCGGUUGUGGGGGGAAAAUGGGGGACCAGAUGAGGGAAGGGAAAUUGAGGGAUAGGGUCCAAAGAAAGUGAAUGAUAUGAUUGGUACUUGCUAGUUAAAAUGAAAAUGAUUUUUUUUAGCUUAUUUCAAAUGAAAUUUGUGCCCCAGGUAUCAUUUUAGAAUUUUAGUUUAUGAACUAAUUUAAAAAAAUCACGUAAUUCUUUCAUAUUCUUCUAAAAAAAAAACUGUAGGGGUACAUUUAAAAUUAUAUUAAAAUUGUACAAGUAUUAUAGGAAUUUAAGAGAGACAGUGGGGUCCCGUUGCCCCCAGUGCCCCCAUCAAAUUGGAAUUUACGGUGGAAACAAGGUAGAUGCGCCGACGGCAGCUGGUGUUUCAUUUUCAUGAUGCAGACUGGGGAAAUUUUGGAGCAUUAUGCAUCCAUGCCAUUAGAUAUAUAGUGGGCUUGAUGUUAUACAAUGCAAAUUUUCUUUAAAAAAAAACUUUAAAUCAAAAUAAAUCUUGACCUAUCAAUUAUUGAUUUAAGCUAUCAAAACAUUGGCAUGUAACAUGCAAAUAAUCGUUGCUCAUAGGGCAUCAUUCCUUUCCGUCUCACACGCAGAUUAGUCCAUUGGUGGUUCUUUCUUUCCUUUUUUUUUUUUUUUUUUGAAUAUUUGGUACAUAGAGGUUCCAACUUUUACAAGGAGAAGGAAAAAUAGGAGAGUUUAAGGGUCAAGACCUUACGGUCAGUCACCUAAAAGCAUCCGUGCCAAUUGAGUUGAGUUUUGGGAACAAAAUUUUGGCCUUUCCAUUAUAGCAGGAUACAACUAAAUGCCCGGAUUAAUUAACUCAAUUUCCAUAAAUUUAAAAAAAAAGAGUAAGAAAUUGGUACCUCUGAUCAAUUCCAAGGGUAGAUAUAUAAUAUAAUUAUUAGUCCUUCAAAUGGAGACGAGUGUCAGUAGACUUAAAAGGAGUCCAUGAUAUUGAUAGUUGGUCUUUUGGUCACAAUAAUUAUUUCGAGAUGUUUGAUUCUUCGUAAUGUGGAAUAACUUUCCUCCAGACAUUCUAAAGAAACAUGAUGGAACAAGUUGCUGUUUGUGAGGUCGUAUUAAUCCUGGUGGGAACCUCUCUUGCGCAAGGAUUUUUGGGUAAUGAAUUGAUCUUUCCACAAAAACAAGUAUUUUUAUGUUUUCCUUCAUUUGUGUUCAAUUCAAUUCUCUAUAAUAUAUAUUAAUAGUACUAUUUAUCUAGAGGGGGCACCUUCAUGAAUGGACUAUCUCUAGAGGUUCUCCUUCACAUUUGACGCGCAGAUUACGCCAUUAGGCAAUUCGGGCGACUGAGCGGUCAACACAAGGCGACAUCAAAACAGUUGCGCAUUUGGCCCACCAGUACUAUGCAACCAAUCAAACUACUCCGGUCUUGAUUUAUUUUCUUCAGUUUCCAUUUCAUCUACUUCUCCACUGAACCUCUAGAGAAAGCUCAGUCGUUAACUUUGCUUGUCUGUUCAAACGUCUAACAUCAAAAUUAGAAUUUAAAUCAAAACCUUAAAGUGGGAACAAAGUGCCAUCUUUUAAAAACAAAAAAAAAACUAAUACAUCGAAACGUAAAAUUGAUAUAAUAGAUGGGAGAAAUUUCUUCGAAACUCCAAAAUGUGAUUCUCGAGUAGAUUAAUGCAAGUCUUAUAAAUUGAUUACAUUUUCAAUCAAUUCAAUUUCAGGGUAAACAUGCAACAUGCCCAAGUAUAGCUCUGCCCUGGUUUUCACGGUACAACCACUUUUUCGUUCUCAAAGAAGUCAUUAGCAUACUAAAGAAAGAAAAGGACCUAAAAGGAAAAAGAAAAGGAUCUAAUUAUACUAAGAAUCACAAAAGUUAGUUUGGUUGAGAAAAGGAAGUAGUACUUUAGAACAAACAAAGGUAGACGAUGAGAUCCUCAAAAUAUCAUAACUAUGAAAACAUUUAGUAUAUAUUUAUAUAUAUGAAGAACAACAUUUAUUUGGGUUGAAAUCAACUAUAUAUACAUAUAAAUAUAUAUAUAUAUAUAUAUAUAUAUUCUAGUAGUAGCACUAGAGGGAGGGAGUGCUCUAACAUUUAUUGGCAAGGUCGUAAGUGACCCGCAUCCCUUGCUGCUGUAUAUUCCCAAGAAGAAAUCCAAAAUCCUAAUUUUUUUUUCCUUUUGUUUUUAGAAAAGGAAAAAUGAAAGCCAAAAAGCAAUAAAAUGGAUAACUUCUUUUCAUAUGAAUAUAUGGUGUUAAGUACUUUAUUUACUCAUAAAACCCAUAUUUUGGUUUAAAAAGAAAAGCAAUACCUAAUGAAAUUGUAAAAUGAGAACGGUAACAAAGAUUAUAGUCUAAAGUACUCGUUUGAUAGGCUAGUGUAAUUUGCCGUUUCACUUGUACGCUUCAAAUGCACAUUAUCAAUCAGGUAUCAGGACGCUUGGCUAUGCAACUUGAACAAUCAUCACAUGUAGAACUGACUUUAUUCUAGUAUCCUAUAGGAAAAUAUGUACUCAAUUAGCCUGAAGUGAAUUAAAUCAUGAUUGUCAGCAUUUUAAACUUUUGAUUGCGAAGGCCUUAAUUGCUUGACAACGCCCAUGAUUACUAUGGCUAAACUACUCAGGUUGCCUCUUUUUAUACUUCCAAAAAAAAAAAAUUUAUCUCAAUUCAAUCUUUAACACUAAGAAGUGACUUGAUUUAAUCCCUUGGAAAUAACUCAUGUCAUUUUUAUGUUGAAUGAGUAGCCAAAAGAUUGAAUCGUGUAUUUCCAAUAGAACGGGGUGUAUGUGUUAUAUCAACGAUAUAUUGUUGAUGAUCAGACUAUAUGAAUUCCAAUUCUUUCAGCAAAGGUGAUAUCCAAACAACAAAAUUUCUUCAAAGACAUAUAAUAAAGAGAUUACCAAGUACCCAUGUUAUUGUUUAAGCAAUAAACAGCAUUUUAUUUGGGUUGAAAUCAAUUCAACACCUAUAUGCUUUUUAACAUUUAUUUGGGCUGAAACCAUACAUCUUGUUGGCAAGGUCGUAAGUAACCCGAAACCCCUGCUGCUGCGUGUUGCCAAUUACUGAGCGAGGUUGAGAAGUGGUCUGGAAAGCCAAACAGAACGUGCCGUCGGAAUCAGCACGAAACAGGUAAUUUUGAGGUUUCAGCGGCAGCGUCUUGCCCCCGGAGAACUGAAACGACAUCAUUGGGAAGCCAUCUCUGGUAGGCGUAGAGGAUAGAUCAUAACAAGUGUCGAGACCACCGAUCCCAGCGGCGGGAGGCAACUUUUUAGCGUACUUAACAAAGGUGUCGCGGACCGAGUUAUAUACCUGAGCUGGCAACGCUGUGAUGGUGGUACCCGAGUCGACGAUGAUUCCCCCACGCCCAUCUUCGCCUAUUUGAUAAGCCGAUGCAGGAAUGGGCACUUGUUCUCCAUUAAUGGUGAUCCCCGUGAGUUCCACGUAGUAAUAAAUCUCAGAUUUUGGGUUCAUAAUCAAAGGAACGAGGAUUGAGUCACCAGGUGGAGCUGAGUUAAACUCGAGAGUCGAGGACGAGCUGGAGUCCAAAUCCACGAGGCAGUAGGAGAAAGACUUCGCCUGAAUUUGAGAAGGAAAGCCUACUGCAGUGCCCCCAAGGCCGAGUAUGCCAGCUGCCUUGCCAAAUUGGCCUUGAUUCGCGUGCCCGCACCCGAUAGCCACUUUCUGAACCGAACCCGAACUCCCGAACGACACCGUUUCAGUGGCAAAUUCUCCAAUACUGAUGGAAUUAUCCCCGUACAACGCUCCGUAGAUGCAAGUGUUGUUUCGGCCGCACUGGUAAUUCUGGCGGCUCAAGGCGGUGCACUGCUGCGAUGUGCAGGAUAAAGGGCUGUAAGACGAGGAUCCGGAUGGGUCGAAUAUCGGGUCGGUUUGGGCGUAGCACUGACCGCAGGGCAGGCAUUGGAGCCAGUUGAUUUGGCUGCCCGUAUCCGCUAUCAGGUAGUAUUCUUUCACGGGUUGGCCCACUCCGACCCGAGCCACGUACCCUCCGCCAGACGGAGUCAGCGGAGCUUCGAGGUCCUCCGGUUGGACUUGGACGUCGGGUUUGACGUCAUGAGGGCGGUUGAAAGCGGAGAGAGCCCGCUCAAUGUUGGAGUUGAUGAGCUUGGCUCGGGCCCGGUCACCUGCGAGCCGGGAGAGUACGAGGUCGGAGUAGCUGUCGUAUGGCGGCUUUAUGACGGAUGAAUGAGGAUGCAGGGAGAGGGACAAAACGGAGGAGGUGGGCUGAGUUACUUCUGUUGAGAAGAGUCGAAGUCUCUUGAAAACUGAAGCAGAUACCGCUUGAGGUGAAAAAGGACUGAGGGUGAAGGAGAAGAAGAAGAAGAGGAUGUUAAUGGAAGGAAAUGGGCUUUGAGCUUUUCGAGCCAUGUUUGUGGUUUUGGAGCAGAAGAGAAGAUGGAAGAGAAGUGAUGAGAAGUUUGGAACGAGCAAGGGUUUAUAUACACGUACGUCGAUCUGCACGUAGGGCAUGUGGUUAAUUAAGACAAGGCUGCAUUCACAUUUUAUUUAUUUAUUUUUUUGUUGAGGAUAAGUUCAAAUUGAAUUACGGUAGAAAACGAUGAUCAGACACAACCAGACGCUUCUUCCCUGAAGAAAUGAAGAGAAAAUUAAAGUAGUAGCAGUUGCUUAACGAUAGUACGUAGUAAUUCAGAUGCUUCGUAUAUAUGGAGAAGCAGUCUGAAAAAAUGGCCCCUCACAAAUAUCACCAUAUUAACCAUCCUCUUUUAACUUUUUAAGAGCGAAGACUUAGAGGAGCGUAGACAUGAUAGUUGGUCCUUCUGGUGGGCAUUGGUCACAAUAAUUAUCUUAAUUAUGGCAUUGAAUAUGAUGGAAAAUUGGAAUUGCAGUGGCUAGGGAACAAGAAGGCUUUGAAGGUAGAUGGACGAACGGCAACAGACAACUCAGUUUGAUCUUUGAUGAAGAGCAAAUAUAUAUUGGCUCGGCUGCAGGGUUAUACCUAAUUAGAAAUAAUUAGGGUUAAUAUAAAAAAAAAAAAAACCCACAGAAAAUUGCCAUCUGCCAAUCACACUGAUUACUGUGACUUCCUUGUUUCCGAUAGUCAUGCCUUCGUUAUCUAUAGUUAAAUGGUGGGUGCUAUGGAUUAAUAUAUAUAUAUAUAUAUAUGCAAGUAAUAAUUUUUCGUAAAGAAAUGUUUAAGGGUUUUACGUAAAAACCCUUAAAAAAAAAAGAAAUCUUCAAAGGUUUUACAUGCAAAUUCUUUCCCCAAGAGUUGUGGAACACAAGGAAUUACGUGGCUCUCUAAACUCACCACUUGGGAUCCUCGGUGACAUGUUUUUUAUGCCAACCCAAUGUCACCAAUAGUGUUACGCCAAGUGUCUUGUUAUUAAUUACACUUUAAUUUUCUAAUAAUUCAACUUGGCUUGAUUUAACACAAAUAUAAAUAAUAACAAGACACUUGGCGCAAUACUAUUGGUGGCAUUGAAUUGGCAUAGAAAACAUGUCACCGAUGAUCCCAAGUGUAAACUCACACGGUCCGCAAUUUUACCUGCAUGGUCCAGGUCCAUCUCUAAGAAGAAGAGACAGUACAAUUGUAAUUUUUUUUUUUGUAUAAUAUAAUGAAUGCGAUGGCCCUUUCUUUGAACAGAGAAAAAUUCUGCAAAUACCGUAGACGUUCAUCUUGACAUAUAAGCCAUACUUGAAAUCAAAGUAAUAUCCCAUGCAUCAGAGCUUACUAGCUAGUAUUAUUGAUUUGAACAAUAAAAUCAAGGGAGUGGAGUGUAAAAUUCAGAUAAUCGUUUUUCAUGCCAUGCAGAUUAGGCCAUUAGGCGAGUAAGCGGUCAACGGUAAUCAAAACAGUUGCACAUUUACAAUUUAGUCCACUCGUCAACCAAUCAGACCAUUUCUUCUUCUUCUCCAUUUGAUUUAACCUAGAGAAAGUCUAGUCGUCAUUCGUUAAUGCUCUUUCUAGUUUAAAUGUCUUAACAGGAUUGAAUUAAAACAUAAAAUGAAACGAAAUUCUCCCUUUUGCUUUUCUUUUCUUCUCUUCUUUUUUUUUUUUUAAAAUUUGGGGAUAAUUUCAUUCAAUGAAAAUUGCACUAAUAGCAGUAAAUAACAUCAAAAUGUGCAAGGAAUGCAACAGACAGAAGGAAUUUUCUUCUAUUUCGAAGAAUUAAGACAAUCCAAAUUGUGAUUCUCAAAUAGACUAAUGCAAGUUUCAUAAACUGAUUAGAAUUUUGAAUUAUUAGCUCUAUUUGCUAGUAAGAAAAAAAAACACCUAGACCAAAGCAAUAGAAGAGAAAGAACGAAAGGCCAACUAGAAAAUUACUAUCAAGUUAAAGUUGUAAAUUUCCGUUGAUAUUAUCAAAUAUUAUCAAGUUUCAUUAAACUAAGGUUGUACACUUCCGUUAUUUCUAUUGGCCGAUUAUCAAAGUGGCGAUGUCAAAGACAAUAUCAAUCAGGCUGUCGGUCUAACUUAUUUCAUUUAACGAUUUGUUUUAUGUGUUGAAUCAUUCUGCAAGCAAAGCCAAUGGCGACUAGUCGAUCAAUCAGACAUCCAAAGAAGUUAACCUUCUUUGCAAGCUGAUGUGACUGCCAAGAACCAGAUCCGAACUGAGCUGUAUCGAGCCGAGCUGAUCAGGCGCAAGCGACCUAGAAGUGGAAACCGAGCUAAUGCACCUACAAAGAAAGAUCAAGUGCGGGACUGGUGUCCCCGGAAUAACUCCGACGGCCAAGUUAGUCAAGCUUGUCCACGGAGUAAUAGUAGAGAAUACUUGUGUAUGCGUACCUUGUAUUGUCCCUAGGCAUGGUUUAUAUAGGGCAGAGUGGGUUGUAGUUUCCUUGUGGAAGUCAGAAUCCCCGUAGGGUUCGGAGUCUUCUUAGGGUUUCGUGCGGCGGCUCCUACAAGUUCGGAGGCGGCGGCCCAUAGGCCCAUCUCAGGGAUCGACAAGUAAGGCCGAGCUGGCAUCCACAUGCCGAGCUAGCGCCUGCGAGUCGUGAGGUCUCCACCGUCGACCUGACGCGCACAACCUGCUGAGCUGACACGUGUCACGUGCAGAUUUGCCCCACUACACUAGCCCCCUUGAGUCUAGAGUCACUGAUGAGUCACGUGGGUCUGGACCAAACUUCGAAGCGUCACGUCGGCUUCGUGCGGGACCCACGAUCCCACGAUCACGUACCUCCUCCGAAAAACUGCCACGUCCGCCGUCGUAACCGUCACUUCAAGGGUCACGUCCGUCAUGAUGGAGGUUUGUCAGCUCAAGCGUCUUCCAAGGUAACCGCCCCCUUGCAAUAAGUUCGAAUUUCUUUCUCAGGACUCUUCGGCUUCCCGCCCAGGGAGCCUAUAAAUAGGCCCCACCAAACGUCACUUUCAAGCCUCCCCUCUCAUUUUCUCUUCUCCUCCAGUCUUCUUCAGCUCGCUCCGCAUUCCGUGAGGUCGUCCGAGAGUAGGAUUACCUUCUAAGCACAUCCCAGCUCUUCUCCUUUAUCCACCAGUAAGUCCUCCUUUUCCUUUUAUGUCGUCUUCCUCCACACACUCAGACCUUACCAGCUCAGCACCUAGGCGUAGGAUUACCCGACCUGCACUCAUAGAAAUACCUUCCUCCAGCUCCUCUUCUUCCAGCUCGUCUGAUUCUGAAUACCUUCCUCCCCCAGCCCCACCUCUUGCUAUAGCCAUGGACCAACCUGGCCCAUCUGCUCAGCCCGGGGCUGGAGCUACUGUCCCAGGGAUUCCUCUGGAGGUAGUUCCAGCUCGCUCUAGGGCAGGACCCCCUAGGGGGCCAGACAUCGACUUUGGAGAAGUCGAAAUUAUUCCCCCCCUUCUCGACCAGGGAGACGUAGAUGAGCUAGUGGGGAGGUAUGACAUCCUUCCCCAGUUCGAGGCUAGGGCAGCCCGGCCAGGGGAGUAUGCUUGCCUACCUCCCCCUGGGUUUGUAACUAUCUACAGGGAUCAGCUCGUGGCUGGUCUUCGCCUUCCCAUUCCCUACUUUCUUUAUGACAUCCUAACCUUUUGGGGCAUUUGAAUCACCCAGGUCGUUCCCAACGCCAUUCGGUCCAUCCUCGGCUUCUUUAUUUUGUGUCGAGCUCUUGAAAUCCCUUAUUCUCUGGACCUAUUUAGGUCUUUCUUUCAGAUGAAGGUAAGCGGCCCAGUUCAUGGUUGGUUCUACUUCGCUCGCAGGAGCGGAGGGGAACUCCCUACCCGCGAGCUGUUCACUCAUAUGCCUUCUUCCAUCAAGGGCUGGAAAGCCCAGUUCUUUUUUGUGAAGAAUACUGGGUUUCCUCCCCUAACUUGGAGGGAGGAUACCCAGGUGACCGAUCCAAUCCCUUCUCCCCUGCCCGAGGCCGAGCUAGACCGCUUGGUCAGCUCGGAAGCUCAACUGAAGGUGAAGGAAUUUAACAAUGCCCAACUCUGGUCGGCGGGGCUAAUCCGAGCAGAGGUGAACGACCCUGCCCCCGAUCUCCGACCUAUCACCCCCGAGGAGCUGACAGCUUGUAAUUUUCUCGACUUCCUCCUUUUCAUGAGUCCACACCAUCCUAACUGACUAAGUGUUUCUGUCCUGCAGUGAAGAGGUUUUCCCAGCUGCUGAACAUUGGCGGAAUUGGUAGCGCGAGCACGCCAACUCCUGCGCCUUCCACAGCGCCGAGCAGCACGGUGCCUCCACCUCCACCUGUGUCCACUCCCCAAAUUGCCGCUCAGUCUUCACUGGGGGAGGGAUCAAAGAAGAAAAGAAAGAAGUCCACGGCCAAGAAGGCCAGGACAGAGGCGGCUUCCCCCCAGUCCCAGGAGGAGCCCUCUACUGCCAUUGCCUCUCAUUACGGGGUGAGCUCCGCCGAGCAGCAGGCCUCGUCACAAUCUCCCCCUGCUAUGUGGCGUAUGAGGAAUGUAAUUCCCAUGAAGCCCCCUACCGAACUGGGCUCACACCCACACCCCCUCCAUUUCUGCCCGAAGUGGGGGCUGUCGGUGAACGACCGAGCUCAGUUCCCUGAAGUGGCGAAGGAGCUCGUCAAGGGCGCUGUACUCCCCCGCGAUCACCACUUCAUCCAACUUGCCACCAAUGCUGAGCUGCUAGAGCACUUCUACCUCAGCACCACCCAGGUAGCUUCUUAACUAGCACUUUCUUUGGCACCCUUUCGAGUUUUGCUGCCUACUUAUCCUGUAACUAAUAUGCAGCUCAAUGUUACGGGGGCCGAGCUGGCUCAGCGAUAUGAGAACAUGGGGGUCAACCUGUCCCAGGUUGACGCUGCCAAAGAGAAGCUGUCCAGCCAGCUCGAGGCUGCAGAGACCGAGCUGGAGACCCUGAAGAAGCAACUUGCAGAUGCCAACUCCUCCUGCGAACUGGAAAAGAAGAAAGCGGCCGAACUGGCUGCGACUUUGGAGGCAGAGCAGAAAAAAUCUGCCGAGCUGGUGGAGGCGGCAAGGGAAGAGGGGCGUCAGCAGGGCGUCCAGGAGUUCAAGAAAUCUGAACGCGGACGACCUCACGGAAUGCGGAGCGAGCUGGAGAAGACUGGAGGAGAAGAGAAAAUGAGAGGGGAGGCUUGAAAGUGACGUUUGGUGGGGCCUAUUUAUAGGCUCCCUGGGCGGGAAGCCGAAGAGUCCUGAGGAAGAAAUUCAAACUUAUUGCAAGGGGGCGGUUACCUUGGAAGACGCUUGAGCUGACAAACCUCCAUCAUAAAGGACGUGACCCUUGAAGUGACAGUUACGAAGGCGGACGUGGCAGUUUUUCGGAGGAGGUACGUGAUCGUGGGAUCGUGGGUCCCGCACGAAGCCGACGUGAUGCUUCGAAGUUUGGUCUAGACCCACGUGACUCAUCAGUGACUCUAGACUCAAGGGGGCUAGUGUGGUGGGGCAAAUCUGCACGUGACACGUGUCAGCUCGGCAGGUUGUGCGCGUCAGGUCGACGGUGGAGACCUCACGACUCGUAGGCGCUAGCUCGGCAUGUGGAUGCCAGCUCGGCCUUACCUGUCGAUCCCUGAGAUGGGCCUAUGGGCCGCCGCCUCCGAACUUGUAGGACCCGCCGCACGAAACCCUAAGAAGACUCCGAACCCUACGGGGAUUCUGACUUCCACAAGGAAACUACAACCCACUCUACCCUAUAUAAACCAUGCCUAGGGACAAUACAAGGUACGCAUACACAAGUAUUCUCUACUAUUACUCUGUGGACAAGCCUGACUAACUUGACCGUCGGAGUUAUCCCAGGGACGCCAGUCCCGCCCCUGACCUUUCCUCGCAGGUACAUCAGCUCGGCUCCCUCUCUCAGGCUAGCUGCGCCUGACCAGCUCGGUUCGCUACAGCCCAGCUCGGAUCUGGUUUUGGCAGUCACAUCACAAGCAUUUUUGUGGAAAAUGAAACAGCGAAUGGAAUGGAAUGGUUGUACAAUUCCCUCCUUGCCAAGUAAUUGAUUUCCUGAUAGUUCCCCCAAAACGAUGUCGACUAUCAACGAAGUACAUCAUAUAUACCGUGUUUACUAAUCGAAAGAACGAUUAUUUUUCUUAUCUAAUGUAUAUCUGAUCAUGUAUAGAUGCAUGACUCAUGUACGUUUUAAAUUUUAUAUCUAUAACAUGUAUUUAAAUUCGUUAAUAUAUACGUACGCUGUCAGUGUACAAAAUAUAUUUAUUAAAACAAAAUUUUUAUAAAUUUCUCAAGUUCAUUAUCAUGUUUUCAUGACUAAGUUAACCGAUGAAAAAAGGCACUCAAUUGACGGAACUUUUAAUAAGAAAAGCACUAUGAACAUGUAAGGCAGAAAUCAACGAUAUGGAUAUUAAAGCAUUGAAAUGGAGGAAUCUUCAUCGAUCAUAUCAGAAACCGAAUUAUAUUAGACUAACUUUGUACCGGUGUUACUUGACAUUCCGACGAGUGGAGAUGGAAAAUAAUGUGAACGUCCAGCCAAAUAAUUUGGUGGGGAUAACAAACUGAUGCGAUGUCCAAACCUGGCAAAAAGCAUUGGACCUCUAUUGUCCUUGUCGCCCCAACAAUUUCAAAAUUGAGUUUUGUCUGUUACAAAUUAGUUUACACGAUUCUUAUUACAUUUAGUGUAAAUUUAUCCCAUAAUCGCUUGUCCUAGGUUACUAAAGACUUAUUCUUGAUUGAUUACUUUAGCUAUAUAUUUAUGGAUUCUGACGUUAGAUAAUCAAUUUUUUUGAUAUUUUUGUUUAUUUUAAUUAUACAAAUUUUUUAUUUUUAAUAUUAAAAAACUAAAUUUCAUAAUCAAUCAAAAAAAUAAAUUUUACUAAUAUUCUCAUUAUUCUCUAUAGUCAUUUUUUUUUAAAUCUUAAUCUGAUUUUGUAAAAUCUGAAACCAAGCAGUAUUAGUAUGAAUUUACUAAUAUUUUGGUUCCAAUUUCUUCGGAUGUCCUCUCGAAGGAAGGGACAGUAUUUUGGUUCAAAUCAAAUAUAUUCUCGUACUAGCAAUAAGAGACGGUGCUCAUGGUCUUAACAUUGAUUCGGACUAAAACCAAUCAACUUAUUGGUAAGGUCGUAAGUGACCCGCAUCCCUUGCUGCUGUCUGUUCCCAAUUAUUGACACCCGUUCCGAAGACACCCGUUCCGAACUGCCGGUGAAAGCCAAACAGUGCUUGCCACUGGUAUCAACACGAAUCAAAUAAUUUGCAGGCCUCAGCGACAGUGUUUUGCCCCCAUGGAAUUCAAACGACAUCGUUGGAUAGCCAUCUGUGGGUUCAGAUGAUAGAUCAUAGCAAGUGUCAAGUUUAACUGGACCAUAGUCGAACCCGCUCGCGGGAGGCAAGGCUCGAGCGUACUUAACAAACGUAUCGCGGACCGAGUUAUAGACCUGAGUUGGGAACUCAGUUAUCGCGGUGCCCGAGUCAACUAAGAUUCCCCCGCGUCCAUCUUCGCCUAUUUGGUAAUCUGAUGCCGGGAUGGAUACUUUUUCUCCAUUAAUAGUGACCCCCGUGAGUUCCACGUAAUAAUAAGCCUCAAUUCUUGGGUUAAUUAUCAAGGGAACGAGGACUGAGUCACCAGGUGGAGCUGAGUUAAAUUCAAGACUCGAGGACGAGUUCGAGUCCAUAUCCACAAGGCAGUAGGAGAACGACGUCGCUCUAAUUUGAGACGGGAAGCCUACAGGAGUGCCCCCAAGACCAAGUAUCCCAGCUGCCCCGCCAAACCCGCCCUGGUUCGUAUGCCCGCACCCGAUGGCUACUUUGUCAACAGAGCCCGAACUUCCAAACGACACCGUUUCGGUGGCGAAUUCGCCCAUGCUACUGAAGUUAUCUCCGUACGACGCUUUAUACGUACACGGGUCAGCUUUGCAAUUUUGGUUUUUUUCCAGGGAGGUACACUCCUGCGAUGCACAGGAUAAAGGACUAAAAGAUGAAGACCCGGAUGGGUCAAAGAUCGGGUCGGAUUGUUCGUAGCAUGGAUCGCAGGGCAGGCAUUGGAGCCAGGUGAUUUGGCUACCCGUAUCCGCUAUCAGGUGGAAUUCUUUCACGGGUUGGCCCACUCCGAUCCGAGCUAAGUACCCUCCCUCAGAAUGAGUCAGUGGAGUUUUGAGGUCCUCCGGCUGGACUUGUACGUCCGGUUUAACAGCAUGACGGCGGUUGAAGGUGGAGACAGCCCGUUCGAUGUUGGAGUUGAUGAGCUUGGCUCGGGCUCGGUCACUCGCGAGUCGGGAGAGUACCAGGUCAGAGUAGUUGUCGUAUGGCAGCUUUAUGAUGGAGGAAUGAGGAUGUAGGGAGAGUGACAAGACGGAGGAGGUUGAGCUAGGCUGAGCUUCUUCUGUUGAGAAGAGUUGAAGCCUCUUGAAAGCUGAAGCAGAGACAACUUGAGGUGAAAAAGGACUGAGGGUGAAGGAGAAGAAGAAGAAGAAGAGGAUGAUGAAGAUGUUAAUGGAAGGAAAUGGCCUUUGAGCUUUUCGAGCCAUGUACAUGUUUGUGGUUUUGGUGAUGAGAAGUUUGGGAGAUGAAGUUGCGUCCACAUUGUUUUGGUUUAGGAUACAACUAACGGAUCCGGAUAAGUUCAAAUGUUCGAUCACAGUAGAAAACUUUGGUCUUUCUUUAUUAUAUAUUUUUUGUUUCCAGUAUGACUCUGUUCUACCCCAAUUUUAUUUUUUAUUGUAUUAUUAUUAUUUUUUUCACAAAAAUUAUAUUUUAAUUCUUUUUUAUUUCUCACGUUCAAAUAACCACUGACACAUACAAAUGUUUUUCAAGAUAGAUGGGCCAAAUGAGACUGAACUACCAUCAUAGAAUAGCCCAAUUAAGUUGGGAAAAUCUAACGGGAAUUGAACUGCCAUCAGAUUAGACGGGUAUACCAUGCAGUCGUAUGAAUUUAGAACAAAUCUCAUAUAAAGACACAUUGAUGGGAGAUAAGAUUUGAAACCUUAACCUCCCAUCGCACGAUUAAUGUGAUGGCCAACUCAAUAUGACUGCAGGGUCACUGUGACUUCUUUUUCCUGUAAUCACGGCUUUGUUAUCUAAAGUUAAAUAUGAUUGCUAAUAAUUUUUCGUAAAGCAUUCUUUAAGGGCUUUACAUGCAAAUUCUUUCCCUAAAGAGGUGCGGGCACAAGGAUGUGGCUCUUUAAGCUCACAAGUUCAGCCAUUUGGACCAGGUCCAUAUAAAAAGUUUCCUGUGCAAUAUUCGAGAGGCUUUUGUAUAACAUAACCAAAGUUUUCCUUUUAUAUGUAAGGAAUUUAGAAUUUCUUUUUUUUUUCCUUUUAUAUACAAGCUCUGGCUGUUUAUAGAGUUUUUGACCAAAGAUUGUUAUUCAUAAAAGUUUUGAAAUUAAAAAAAUUUUGAGAAAAAGAAACGAAAAAAAUGCUGUUUGUAGAGUUGUAAUCUUCGUGGGAACGCCUUGGCCUAGGAUCAUUUGUUUCUCUUAUUAGGAAUAUGAAACUUAUGAGAUUCAUAAAAUUUAAUGGACGGUAGGUUAGGUUCCCAUUUUCCGCUUUUUUCUGUAUUUUGAUGAAAUUCUCCAGCAAAGUUCUCAAUAAUUCUGCAGUUGAACACACUUGUAACGCUGCCUAACAUAAUUCUGCAGGAGUAUUAAUUGUUUCCAGGAGUCAGCCUACUGAUGCAAGAUGACCACAAUGGUCCCUAUUUAAAAAUUGCCUUCAAGGAACUAAGCAUCAAGUUGAAAAAUCGAGAUCAAAGACAAUAAAAUAGGAAUAAUCUAAUGUUUCAAAAAGACACAUUUCUCUGAAGUUCAAGUCUAAGAAAGUAAAAGGUGAAUAACAUACUUUUCUCAUCUGUACAGAUGGAUUCAAGGCAAUUAGAAAGUACAUAGCAGUAUGCAUUCAUCCUUUUUCUUUUGCAUCCAAGAGAGACUCAAAUACUACCAAACUGGUAUAACAUAUCUGUUAUGCAGAGAUCCAUGCAGGAACAUGUGACUGGAGGUAUCUGAUCCCCAGAAACCUAUGAAAAUAGGCUCCAAAAAUGAAAAUGCAAUAUGCGCUUAAAAGCAUAGCUGUGCACAUGCACUUCUUCAUUCUCAAGAAGUCAAUAGCAUUCUAAGGAAAGAAGAGGAUAAAACUACUAAAGAUCACCAAAGCUGAAUAGGAAUAGAAAAGAGUGUACCUUAGAAUGAUGAUAGACGAUAAACUUGAGAUCCUGAAAAAAUCUUAACUCGACAAAAAUUGAUUCGGUUUAACCACCCAAUCAACCGUUUUUCCACUAAGGGAAAAUCUUAAGUGUAUCUUGAUAUCAUCAGAGGCUUUGAUGGGAAUGAAAGGAUUGUCACAGUUGCAGCAUUAAAAAAACUCUAAAUUUGGAGUGUCAAUUUCAGCACCUGAAAAGUGCGACAAUCUCUAAAGGCCAGUCUCUGAAGCCUUUGGCUUGAAAUUCUGAUACUCCCCAACCCAUGGCAACUUCGAAACUCUAAGGCUUCAAGGGCCUGGAUUUGAAAUGUCAGCGCCUGGUGCCCAAAGUUAGUUGUGUCACCUGCCCCACUGAGUUUCAACUCCUUCAGUGCUUUGCAAGUAGCCAGGUUAACACUUCUGGGCCAGUUUCCCAAGGAUGGUGCAAACGAAAAAGUAUGAAGAUCAGACACAUCUAUCUGAACAGUAUCAAUCCCAUCACAGUACAGGAACUCAAAAUACUUCAAGUGAGAUAAACUUGAAACUGAGAGAAGUGUGUCCAUCCAUUUACAAAAUGACACUUUCACAUACUCUAUCACGGGGCACCCAGAGAGAAUUUGGUGAAAUAAAAACUUGUCGGUGAAACAAGAAUGAGAUAAAGAAAACUUCUGUAGAUGUGGAAGUUUGAUAUCCAAUCCACUCUCAAAUCUACAACCACAUAAGCUUAAAACUUUUAGCGAGCUAGCGAGCAAAACCGAUUGCGGAACGCUAAAAAUGUCUAUCUGAGCCCGACAAACUAUCAAUGCAAACAGCAAGUUCUGGAGCAGUCCUGUCUACUGCUAUACCAAUCCAUUGGUCCAUAUUAGGCAUCAACAACUCCAUAUCAGGGAAGUCAAUAUACAAUUGAAAUCUUUGUACGCAAAAAUCUAGUUGCAAGCGCCGACAAAUGGAAUUUCCAGCAAGAAUCAAGAAAUCAUGUUUUCGCUUUUUUAUAUGCAAGUCACCAAGAACUUGCUCUUGUUCUGUGACUGAAUUAUCAUAGAAAAAGUGGAAUACAAGAUAAGGAUAAGUGGACCAGGUGCGAUUCCAAGUCUUUGACAAUAUUGCAGUAGAGGUAACAUCUCUGGCACGCAGAUAAGAUAAAAUGUGAUGAAUCACGGAAUCAGGCAACCGCGAGAUGAAGUCCAAAGGGGCAAUCUCCAAACCAGAUCUCUCCUGCUCACAUUCCUCUAUUAUUAACCAACAAAAGCGUUCAUUGACCAGUUAGAACUCAAAUUUCAUCUGUCACUCAUUUACGAACUAAUUCCAACUCCAAUAUGCUUGAUAAUCAAAACAGAACCAAUUAGAACUCAAACGUUCAUUAUUCAUUCAUAAUUAUACACUAAUAUGAACUGAAACGUGCUGGAUUAUCAAAGUUAUGCGCUAAUUUGAAACUCAAACAGUUCCUUAUUUAUUGACGACCAUACACAAAUUCGAACUCCAACGUGCUGAUUCACUACAAUUAUAUGCUAAUCAAAAUCAAAAGUCUUCAUCCAUUCAUGAUUAUAAAGUAAUCAGACUAAAUGGUGCAGGAUUAUUACAAUUAAGCAACUGAAGCAUUUAUAGAAAGAAAGUUUACAAAGAGUACCUGAUUCCAUGAAGGGCAAGCCGGCAAAGACUUUGAAUCCCGAAGGCGAACCUGAUUAUAUCAGUAAAUGUUAUAAAGUUAGCGAGGAAAUCUAUUUAAAUUAAGCAAGCCAUAAGAAGAUUGCAAAUUCCAGCUGACUUUGUGAAUUAUAAUGUUGAGCAGAAAAUAAAGCAUGAUCAUAAGGAUGACCAAAAGUACCUGAAAAUAAUUAAUAGCCUCUGUAAUUUAGCCCCAAUUCCCGGAACAUGUAGACGACGGGAGCGACGGUCAAUUAAGAUUAGCCACAUAUUGUGGCAAGUACGAGGGAGGAAGGGGUAAGGGGUAAGGGGAGAUGGUCAACUAAGACCAGCCACAUAUUGUGACAAGUAUGAGGGAGGCAGGGGUAGAACCCCUGACCUCCAACAUCACCAAAGAGGGUGAUGACUACUGGACCAAAUGGCCAGUGGCGAGAAUAGAGAUACUACAUAGCAUGAAACUGUGAAUACACGUAGUUGGGUAGUAGACUACUAGUUUCUUUCAUUAGUUUUCCUUGACAAAAUAUUUUUGGCUCCGUUUGAAUUAAUUACUUUUUUUUUAUAUUUUUAAAACAUUUUACUGCAACAGUGUAUAUGAAAAAUUUUGAUUGUAAAUUUUUUUGUGAUAUUUUUGAAUAAAUUUUUAAAAUAUAUUUUGGAGUACCUUUUAAAAUUAAAAUAUUUUUAAAGUACUUCUUAAAAAUUAAUACUAUCACCCACAACCACAAAUAACCACCAACACCACCUCCACCACCCACUCCUUCCUCCUUUCUCUUCCCCCUCUCUCUUCCCUUUCCCUGCCCCCACCCCCCUUAAUCUGGCAGCAACCAAAGGCUGCGAUCUGGUCGCGGCCAGAAAGUCUAGUAUCGACUAGAUUGCGGCCUCUAGUCACAACUAGAGACCUUGAUCUGGUCUUUGGCAGAUUGAGGGAGGAAGAAAUGAGAGGGGGGUAUUGGUGGUAGGCGGGGAUGGUGGUGGGUGGUGGUGGCGAGUAGUGGUGGUGAUAGGUGGAAAAUGUUAUAUAAUUCAAUUUUAAAAAUUUUUUUGUGUAUAUUUGUGAAUUAUUUUUUAUAUAUUGUAUGGAUGAGAUGUUUUUGAGUUGUUUUAUUUGUGUAUUAUUCUAGCAUUGUAUUUGAAAAUUUUGUUUUUGAAAAAUAGAUUUUUGGAUUUUUUAGUAGAAAAAUAUACUAUAUCAAUUUGAUGUAUGUGAGAUAAAAAUAAGUGUUUGAAAAAUAUGAUCAUAAAAAAUAUUAAAAAAAAUUUCUGCAGAAAAACUUCAAGGAAUUUCUAGAGAAAAAGAAAUCCAAAAUCCUAAUUUUUUUCCUUUUGUUUUUAGAAAAGGAAAAAGUGCAAGCCAAAAAGCAAUAAAAUGGAUAACUUCUUUUCAUAUGAAUAUAUGAUGUUAAGUACUUUAUGUACUCAUAAAACCCAUAUUUUGGUUUAAGAAAAGCAAUACCUAAUGAAAUUGUAAAAUGAGAACGGUAACAAAGAUUAUAGUCUAAAGUACUCGUUUGAUAGGCUAGUGCAAUUUGGCGUUUCACUUGUACGCUUCAAAUGCACAUCAUCAAUCAGGUAUCCGGACGCUUGGCUAUGCAACUUGAACAAUCAUCACAUGUAGAACUGAGGGGGCGCUUGGUUCAAAUUUAGGAAUUGGAAUUGUAAUUGGAAUCAUAGACUCUGGUUUUGAAAUUAAAACUUUUCAUUCCAAUAUCUUGCUUGGUUCACACAUUGGAAUUAGCAUUAUUCCAAUUCCUGACGCUUGGUUUGAUGAGUGUUUCGGAAUUAAAUGCAAUUAAAUUCCAAAUUUACCCCUGAUAUAACAAUUCUUCUAAAACAAAAGAAUUACACAUACGACAAAUUAACAUUUUCAUAAUUGUAACUACAAUAGUUAUUAACUUUUUAAUAAAACAUAAGAAAAUCAUAAAUAAUAAAAAAAUUAAUACCAUAAAAUAAAUAUAGUAGCUGCAUUAACAAGGAGUAAAUUUCCAAAAAAAAAGAGUUUUUAAACAAUCACCCAAAAGGUGACGAUUUUUGAGUCUCUUUCCAAAGGGCGAAAAAUGCAUCCAAGGAAUGUGUUCUUCCAAAUAUGUUUUGGAAAUUUGUUUAAAUAUGAAAAAUUGGUUAAAUAGCCCAUAAGAUACCAGCUCUUUAUAGGAAACUGGCAGGUUUUGUACCAGUUUUAUGGGAAAAAUUGAUUAAAUAGUGCCCAAAGAAAAACUAGUAUGUUUUGUAUUUAACAUAAAUUAAAUAUGUGAAAGAUAAAAAAAAAAAAUUGCCCAUAAGAUACCAGCUCUUUAAGGGAAACUGGCAGAUUUUGUAGUAUGUUUUGUACCAACUCUUUAUGGAAAACAUACCAACUCUUUAUGGAAAAAAUUGAUUAAAUAGCGCCCAAAGGAAAACUAGUAUGCUUUGUAUUUAACAUAAAUUAAAUAUGUGAAAGUUAAAAAAAAAAAGAAAUUACUCAUAAGAUACCAGCUCUUUAUGGGAAAUUAGCAGGUUUUGUAUUUAAUACGCUAUUUAACCAAUUUUUUUUUAUUUAAACAAAUUUACGAAAAUUAAAAUAACGUAUUUGAAAGUUGUAUUUUUAUUUGGAAGAACGCAUUUCUUGAAUGUGUUUUUCAUCCUUUGGGAAGAGACUCAAAAAUUGCCAGCCUUUAGGAAGUUAGUUUAAAAACUCUUUCUUUUUGGAAAUUUACUCCAUUAACAAGUCGUUUGUGGUUCCUACAUUAGAUAAUGAUAUGAAAUAGAUCACUCCUUACAUAUAUGAACAAAAGAAGGAGACUCAAAUCACAAAAGCUAACCAUACCAAAUACAAAUCAAUUGUCUAAUCCAGUCGAGAGUGCCACUCAAUGUCCACAAUCUCCAAAAGACUAAUCAUAUAACCAUCUAACAAUCAUCAUAUCAAAAAGAAAUUGCCAUCAAAUCAUCACUUUCCAGCUAACAAUAAUUUUACUUCAGCGAGUAGAUGGAGGAUAAAGGAGGUUAAUUACAUAUUAUCGUUUCAUUUCUGCAGGAAGAUUGUAGAACACAUGAAGCUUGGAAAUCUGCUCCGAAAGUAUGUCGGCUGCAUUCAUUACAUCUCCACUCGGUAAAGCAAGUUUCAUUAACUCAGCAACAACUUGAUCUCUUCUAUCGGAGACCAAUUGCUCACGUUUAUCCUCAUUUGACAUGGCUGCUGCCAUAGUUGUGAAAUUAGCUUGAAUUCUCUCCACGAAAUCUCCAAAUUUGCUGGUGAGAAGUUGCAAUGAUGCAUCAAGAUCACCCCUUGUUGUUGAUGCAGAUUUCAUUUUUUUUGACACAUUUGCAAUGGGAAGGGAUUGUUUCUUUUGUUUCUUGGAAUUUCUUGUGCUUGUUGAGUUUGGUUGAGUUGAUUGCUCCAUGGAAUUUACUUCAUCUUCUUCUACCUUAUCAUUAUCCGAGUUUGACAUAACAUCAAGCCCUUCAUCUCCUUCCUCCAAAUUUUGGACAUCUUCCAUAUCUUGGACAGCUUGUGCAAAAUCUUCAGCAACAUUUCCAGUGGCUCUGUCUCUUCCAUAUACAAUUUCAAGAUCUCCUAAAUAUGGAAAUUUGACAUCCCAAAGGCCCUUUGCAUCCUUAUGAGUCUAGAGAUAGAAUAGAAAGAUAAAUGAUAAUCUUAAUAAAAUGUUGAAAAAGAACAUAUCAGAAUGUAAAAAGUAAUCAAUUUCUUACCUUGCACCAAUCAUCAUACCACUGUUUUUCACAAGAAAUCUUUUUCUCAGCAUCAUUCCAACUACAACCACUUUCUUUGCACAUUUCAACAAUUGCAUGGAACCUAUUUUUCAGUCACUUAACUUUUGAUUCAAUAUGUGGGCUGACUUGUUUGGUAAAAGUAGGUUGCUUACGCAAGAUAAUUUUAAGUAAUUUGCUCAUAUAAUUAUUUUUAAAUCCUCCAUCUGAUUUUCACAUUGGAUCACAAGCCAACUCUUGCAAUGAUUCUAUGAGCACUUUUACCUCUUCACCAGUCCAAAAACAUUUAUUUUCCCUCUUCCACGUACAAUUUCAUCAUUCUCCAUCCUAUCAUUUAGAAGUCAACCCAUAUAUAUCAAUUAAUUUUGAUACACAAUAGCAUAUAACUGAAAUUUAUAAUAUAACAAAACACAUAAAAGAACAUACAAUUAAAAGUCAAUCCAAAUUUAAAAGAACAUACAUCAAGUGUCAAUCUAAUUCACAAAUCCACUACAAGAGUACAUCAAAUGUCAAUCCAAAUUUAAUGAGUCUAAGAGCUAAACAUCCAUUCAUAGCUAAAUACUAAGUCCAGCCCUCCAAUUGUCAAACAUUUCAUGCGCUAAAUUAUUUCUAAAAUUUGCCCAUUGAUCACUUGGCAAAAUGGUGGAUAUGUACUCUACUUCUUCAUCACUGUCUUCAUCUUCACUUUCAUUUUCUUCACUUUGUAGUAAUUCUUGUGGAUCAAAAGUCAUGAACUUCCUUAUCAAGUUGUGCAGCAGACAACAUGCCAUAAUUAUUCGCACUUGUGUUUGAAUUGGAAAAAAUGAAGGGGAUGCUAGAAUCUUCCACCUUCCUUUUAGCAAUCCAAAACAUCUUUUUAUGAUAUUUCUAGCUUUAGAAUGUUUCAUGUGAAAUAUUCCUCUAGUCUUUGUGGUCGAUAACCAUUGAAUUUAUUAAGGUGAUAUCUUUGCCCUCGAUAAGGGGCAAGAAAUCCAUCAGCAUUACAAUAUCCAGCAUCCACCAAGUAAUAACAACCUUCAGAAUUCAAUCAUGUACAAAUUAAUACUAGACUACCUUAUUUUCGAAAAAAAAUUGAUUGAAUGGUAUUGAAUACUGCAAUAUAUGUUUACCUUGUGGGACUCUAAGACCAUUUGGUCUAGAGAUAGCAUUUCGAAGCACACGACCAUCAUGUGCCGAAUCUUCCCAACCAGGCAAGACAUAGAUAAAUUGCAUAUUAGGAGAACAAAUCCCUAAUACAUUUGUUGCAAUACUUCCUUUUCUCGUUUGGUAUCUUGAUUUUUGUUCGGUGGGUGGUGUCACAUCUAUUAAUGUCCCAUUUAAGGCACCUAAACAAUUCUAUUUUAACAAAAAUAAAAAAUAUAAAUGAGUUAAAAUGUCUAUAUUGGAUAGUUUAGAUGAAAACAUACAUUUUAUUAAAUGAUUGUAUUUUAAUGUUUGAAUUACCUUAAAACAUUUCCAUCUCUCAUCUGUGCAAUCUUCGGUAAUAGGCUCAGGCUUCUUAAGUAAUAUAGUAUGCAAUUUCAAAACUGCUAGGAGGCAAAGAUUAAAUUGACGACUCACCGUUUCUCUACUUCUCUAAAAUAAACCACAAAUUGUUCUACUUUUCUUGUGGUGAGCCAAAACAUAUACAAACAUGGCAACAAUUUCUUCUAUUGACAUGUUUCUUGUAGCUUUCAAACCUCCAGUGUCUCUAAUCAUUUCACAUAAUAUCCCAAAUGUUCGUCUAUCCAUACGAAGUUCGCUAAUACAAUAAGCAUCACUCUCCCUAGUCAAAUUGAAUAAGUGUUGCAUGCGCUCAGUGACUUUUUCUUCUUUUGAUUUUAUUUGGCGUCUUCUACUUUUGAGAUGAAUGAAUAUUAACUGGUACCACAUCAUAAACAGUGCAAUAACAACCAUUAUCAUUCCUGAUAAAAUCUGGCUUUGCCCUCGAUAUUUUUUGCGUCUUCUGUUUUCAAUAGGCAAACGUGGCAUCUUUGUCUACAUAACAAUAUGACAACCAAAUGUAAGUAUUCACCAAACUAGAUUACGGCAUCAAAAUCUUCAAAUGCAUUAAACAUCAAUUGAUCUUAUUAAAAGGGCCUAGACAUGCAUCAUACAUCCGUAAACACAAUGAUGUAUAGAUAUAAAUAAGCAUAAACAAACGAAAUUGAUGGUUGAAACUUGAAAUCCUAAUGUACGAAUAACUAUGAAACUGAAAGCUAUUCAAGCAGACAAUUUUACAAACAGGUACAGGGCAUGUAGAAACCCACCCAAACUAUACCAGUAUUCACGGAUCAAAUAACCAAAAGAUCAAGAAUUGAUUGACCUCCAUUGAAUGCGUAAUCCAAGAAAACACAUUAAAAACAUAAAAAUGACAAAUCUAGUGACAUUAACAUUUAUCUCACCAAAAAAAAGAACAAAAUAAUGUAUUUGUUGAAGUAAGUGAAUUAAAAUACAUGUAUUACAACAAAAUACAUGGAUUAAAAACAUGUAUUAUUCUCACCAAUAAUAGUGUAUUUGUUGCGGAAAUAAUUUCUUAUUGGAUUUUGUGACAAAAGAAUAUGAAUUCAUGGAAGGAAGACUUUUUUGCAAAACUGACAGAUUGUGUAGCGUGAGUGGAAUAAAAGUGAGAAGGUGAUGGGUCCAGAGCAUAGCAUUUUGGUCCAGUUAGUGUUAUUGUAUCAGAUUCCCUUCUUUUCUUCUUUAUUUUCAGCUACCCAGUGAGUAGCCUGAAAAAACAGAGAAGAAGAAAGAGAAAAACUUGCAUACGAAAAGAAAAUUGCAAGAGGCAAGGGAGUUUGUAAUCCACUGACCUGGGAUCAAGGAAUUCACCCUAGUAGAAGACUCUUCAACUCUAGAAUUCGUUGUCCAAGGAGAGUCGAAAGCCACUGAUCUUUAUGGUUGUCCAACCGGUGAAGUAGAAGAGGUAGAAAAUCUGAUGAAGAAGAAGAACAGAAGGUGCGGCGUGUAAUGAAGAAAAAAAGAGGGUAGGUUCGUCAUAAAUGUUUUUGCUCGGGAAUGAGUUGAGGGUUUUGUCCAAAACCUCCCAAUUUACUCAGGAAUGGUGAAAGUCCGAUUUUUUAGAAAUGAUUCCAGAAAUUGCAUUCCAAUAGACUUAACCCAAGCAACAAAUAAGGGGUUCAUUCCAUUAUUUGAUUCCCAAACCUUUUAACCAAGCAGCCCCUGACUUUAUUCUAGUAUUUUAUAGGAAAAUAUGUACUCAAUUAGCCUGAAGUGAAUUAAAUCAUGAUUGUCAGCAUUUUAAACUUUUGAUGGUGAAGGCCUUAAUUGCUUGACAACUCCCAUGAUUAUUAUGGCUAAACUACUCAAGUUGCCUCGUUAUACUUCAAAAAAAAAAUUCUCAAUUCAACCUUUAACACUAAGAAGUGACUUGAUUUAAUCCCUUGGAAAUAACUCAUGUCAUUUUUAUGUUGAAUUAGUAGCCAAAAGAUUUAAUCGUGUAUUUGCAAUAUAACGGGGUCUAUGUGUUAUAUUAACGAUAUAUUGUUGAUGAUGAGACUAUAUGAAUUCCAAUUCUUUCAGCAAAGGUGAUAUCCAAACAACAAAAUUUCUUCAAAGACAUCUAAUAAAGAGAUUACCAAGUACCCAUGUUAUUGUUUAAGCAAUAUUAGUAUGUUUUCAUAAACAGCAUUUUAUUUGGGUUGAAAUCAAAUCAACACCUAUAUGCAUUUCAUAAACAGCAUUUUAUGAGGGAUGAAUGAGGAUGUAGGGAGAGGGACAAAACGGAGGAGGUGGAGGUGGGCUGAGUUUCUUCUGUUGAGAAGAGUCGAAGUCUCUUGAAAACCGAAGCAGAUACCGCUUGAGAUGAAAAAGGACUGAGGGUGAAGAAGAGGAAGAAGAGGAUGAUGAAGAUGUUAACGGAAGGAAAUGGGCUUGCAGCUUUUCGAGCCAUGUAAAUGUUUGUGGUUUUUGCCGCAGCAGACAACAAACAAAGAAGAGAAGUGAUGAGAAGUUUGGGAGAUGAGCAUGGGUUUAUUAUAUACACGUACGUUGAUCUGCACGCAGGGCAUCAGUAGCGUGUUACUAUUAUUUAUUGAAGGUCCAUAUCAAAAAAAAAAUUUUGAUAACAAAGGUCCAUAUCAAUUUAAUUUCCAUAGAAAAGUAAAAGUUUGGUACCUUAACAUACAAGAAAGAGAGUACAUACACAAUUAAUCGCCAGUCCUUCAAAUCAAGAUAUGUACAAUGUGUAAGUGAGAAUGUACAACUGAUAUUCCUAGUCUACGAGCAGGGGCGGAGCCAGAAAAAAUUCUUAGUAGGGGCAAAGCAACACUAAAAUUUUUUACCUACUCUUUUUCUAGUUUUUUAAGCAAAAAAAAAAAAAAUCACCAACAAGUACAAAUGAUACAUAUAUUCCAUGAAAAAUAUAAAAAGACAAAUUCAAAAUUAUUAAUGUAAUAAUAAUUUUAUUUCAAAAAUAAAUUACACUAUUUACAAUUGCUCACUGCGAGUUUUUAUAUUUUGAUAACUAAUUUGGUUAUAGAAGUAAGAAUGGCUCUCGGUUGUGGAGGGAAAAUAGGGGACCAGUGGAAGGAAGGGAAAUUGGGAAGUGGGGACAAAGGAAGUGAAUGAUAUGAUUGGAUGAAUUGAUCAAGAGAAAGAGUAGCUAGCUGCUUGGUUGUGGAAGGUAGUGGCUCUCGGUUGUGGGGAGAAAAUGGGGGACCAGAUGAGGGAAGGGAAAUUGGGGAGUAGGGCCCAAAGAAAGUGAAUGAUAUUAUUGGUACUUGCUAAUUAAAAUGAAAAGGCUUUUUUUAGCUUAUUUCAAAUGGAAUUUGUGCCCCACGUAUCUUUUUAGAAUUUUAGUUUAUGAAGUAAUUUAAAAAAUCACGUAAUUCUUUCACAUUCUUUCUAAAAAAACUCUGGGGGCACAUUUAAAAUUAUAUUAAAAUUGUACAAAUAUUAUAAGAAUUUAAGGGGGGCAGUGGGGGCCCGUUGCUCCCAGUGCCCCCACCUUAAGGCUUCCUUUAGAUGGAGAGAAAAGGAUAGAAAAGAAAGUGACUAGAGAGACAGCCGUACCAUUUCCUUCAUUUGGGAGUUUUAACAUGGACAGGAGAGAAGGGAAACAAACGGAUAGGACCCCCUCCAAUUGGUGAAAAUUUUUCCGCCCAAAAGUGGGAAGAAAAGGACGGAAACUUGUUGGGCGGCAAAAGGUAUUUUUAAUAUGACAUUUUUUGUCCUUUAAAAGCUGAUACAAAAAUUUAUUAUUCCCAAUAUAUCCUAAAGUUCAUUAGUAAAACCACCAAUUCAUCUUUUUCUCAGCUCUUACUUUCAAUACUUCCAACGAGAUUCACCUGACUUUCUUCCGUUCAACACCCACAAUUCAAUAACAGGUAUUUUUUUGACUCAAUCUCUUCUUUCUUUCUUUCUUUGCUCAAUCUUCUUUAGAAAAUUAUGGAAAAAGCAUUUUUUGUGUAGAUUGUUAUUGUUUAUAUUCUAAAUUUUUUUGUUCAUUUUCUGUCAUAAAAUUCUUGUCUGCGGGAAAUCUUGAUCUUUAUAUUAUUGAUUUGUGAUUAUAUCUUGCAUUGUUAUGGUACAUGUAAGUUUCAGUGGUGAUACAUGAAUAUGAAAUUUAAAUGCAUACAUUUUGUUUGUUUAUUUGCCCGUGUAAGCUUCAAAGUGUAAAAUGAUCAACACAGAGUCCAUAAACAAUAUGUUAGCCUUUUUUAUUGUAAUAAUGCAUGUUUCUUUGAAAUGAUUACAAAGAUAGUAAUACUAGAAGUAUUGUUUUGAAUGGAGGCUGAUGUACAAAAACAAAAUUAGAGAUCUCCUUAUUCAUCAUCCCCAAGAGGUUUCAUGCUUGUCCCUGCUCAAGUUACGAUCCUGGGUAUAUAAUAAGCCUUAAAUUACCUUAAAAACAGUCCAACGUAAGGAUUGGUAAUAGCAGAGUUUAAAACUGUCGAAGCUUCUGCAAGUCUGGCCAUGUAAACUUUGUCUUUAGAUAGGUACAAAAAUUCGGAAUUCAAUUAUCUCAAACCCACAGAGUUCGACAAACUUGACACAUUCUUUAAAUUUUCAUACAUUGCUCUGUUAUUACAAAUAAAUUAAUCAAGUAUACAAUAUAGUAGGUAAAAAAAAAACUUUGAAUCCUACAUUAUUAGUAGAUACUCACGGUGCAAAAAAAAAAAGUUUCACAAGAAUUGAGGGCUAUAAUAGUCAUACAAAUUAUGUACGUGCAAAAUCCCAAGGGAACAUACAUCUUCAAAGGCACCACAUUGCUUUUCUUGAUAUUGGUUCUUGACAUGCAGCCAAACCAGAGUCUAUGACAUGCAGCCAAACCAUACUCAACCAAUUUAUAGUGGUGAAAUACAAUCACAAAUUGUGCUUGCUUGUUGUAUAUUACAUAAUUUUCUCAUGGAGUUUGAUCCUGACUUGGAGUACAUUAAUGAAGUGGAUGAGGAAUUGGCACGUCAAUCUCCAUCGGAGGAAGAAAGUGGUGAUAUAAGUGCUGAAAAAGAUCAUGCUCAAGGAGAGAGUUUAAGGAAUGAAAUAGCAAUGCAAAUGUUUUGAAGAUGAUUCCAAUUACCCACUGGUCAUUUCAUGUUUUGAAAAUAUGUAGAUCAUUGGGUGUAUUUUUGUUUAGAAAUUGAUAGAAUUGCUUUGUAUCAGGAGUAAAUGCUCAUGUGAAUUCGGAAAUCUGAAUGCAACAGGAAACCUAGUUGCAUUCCAUGUAAACCUGGUUUAUGUAUAUUUUGAGUUCACUUGGUUGCAUGGCAUUUUAUUUACUUGGGUUGCAUUCCACGUAUAUCUUGUUUAUGUAUUUUAUGGUACCAUGCACCUCCUUGCUUAAUUAUUUGUUGUUUUCACCAAUCUUUGCUUCAGAAAGCAAACAGACUGGCUAACAUAUAUAUGGCUGAAACCUGAGUUUAUCACUAAUGUUUCAGCUUAGCAAGUGGUAAACCUGAGUUUCAACUUAGCAAACUAAAGCUAAAAAUAAUAGACAGUUGAGCAGCUGUUAAAGCUAAAUAAGAUCUCAUCAGGAUGGCACUCUACUUUUACAUCACUGCUUCCUUCUUCUUCAGCCUGCAGUCUUUUCUUGUUAAGAAUUAUUACUCUUUGGGUUCAAGGAUAUUUCCCAAAGAAAUUAAAGGUUUUAGAUUUAUUGUGUGUGAGUAGGUUUAUGUAAAAAUCGCCGCAUUUCAGCUUCCAAUUCAUUCUUACAACAAUGUGAGUACAAGAUUUGGGUGAAACUUGAACCAAUAGAGGUAAUUACCGUGAAUUAGAGUGGAGGAUACAUUUAUGAGGGAGUCUCCAACGGACAGCUGAAAAGUGAAGGAGAGGUAAACGGAUUAAAUGAUUCAAAGUAAAAUGCUCAUAAAUAGCAAAUAGUUUGUUCAUCUAAUGGAAGAAACUCGUAAAGAGCUGGUAUGUUAUGAACAAUUUUUUUUUUUUACUUUCAAAUACUUCAUUUAUAUUAAAUACAAAACAUGCUAGUUUUUCUUUCGUAAAAAUAUUUGUGUAACGGCUUUUGAAUUUUGUUUGCAAAUAUUUAUGUAUUUAACAUAAAUUAAAUGAUUCAGAAUAAAAUGCCCAUAAAAACUUGGGUACUCCGUUCUUAUAAUGGAGGAAAGCCAUAAAGAACUAGUAUUUUAUUGAAAAACGAGUUUAUUUUUAGUUUAUCCGAUAAAUAAAUUUGUUAGUAAUAUUUUUUACAUUAAAAACGGGUUUAUUUCUAGUCUUGGUUAGUAAUCGUCAGUCUUAUUCAUCAAAAUGGUAUUGGAAUGAUUUUUCUUUUAAAAAAAAAAGAUCAAAUGAUGAAAACUUUCAAUAUUAAAUGCCAGACGUCAUGCUUGUCAGUGCAUUAACUAUCAACAAAUAAAAUUUUAUAAACAUUAGGAUGGAUCAAGUGGUGAAGAAGUGAAGAUUGAGAUAAUCUAAUAAUUAGUAGUAAACUUGAGUUUCAGCUUAGCAAAAACACUAGCUGAAACAUGUACAAUGGCAUUUCCGGUCAAUAUCAAAAUCAUAUGUCAAGAAUACCUAAAAGAUACUACAACGACUUGAGGCGAUUUACAUGCAUGCAAGAGAAUCGAAGUCCAGUAAGAAAUUUGUUGUAUUAUUCACCUUGUGGGAAUGCAUAUGCAAUUGUUUUAGAAAUUUGUUUUGUCCAAAUAUUCUAUUUAUGGGAACAAGAAAGCUAAUUUUUGGACUUUGAUUUACAAAUAGAAAGGGCAAAUAUGUAAAGUUGUAUUCUCAUAAAAUCCUUUCUUUCCAUAUCUCUCCAACUCUCAAAUAAGAGAAAGAUAUUUCUUUUCUUUUUUUUCAUUAAGCUCCCAAACGAAAUAUGCAUCUUUUCCCUUCUCUUCCUUUCUUUCCUAAGCUAUCUUUUCUUUUCUUUUCUCUUCCUUCAUAAACUCCCAAACUAAGCCUAAAUCCGCCCCGGUCCACGAGUGUCGUUACCGUAUGAAAGAAAGGGAAAGAACGAGAAGAUUUUAACAAACUUUAGUAGGCUUUUAAUCGAAAUUUUGAGUUCUGGGAGGGAAGACUUUUUAGAGUCUUGCAGGCAUCCGCUGCAUCGCGAUAGUUGGCCUUUCUGAUACAGGCAUAUCAAAAAGGAAUCAAAUUGGAAUUUACGGUGGAAACAAGGUAGAUGCGCCAACGGCAGCUGGUGUUUCAUUUUCAUGAUGCAAACUGGGGAAAUGUUGGAGCAUUAUGCAUCCAUGCCAUUAGAUAUAUAGUGGGCUUGAUGUUAUACAAUGCAAAUUUUCUUAAAAAAAAACUUUAAAUCAAAAUAAAUCUUGACCUAUCAAUUAUUGAUUUAAGCUAUCAAAACAUUGGCAUGUAACAUGCAAAUAAGCGUUGCUCAUAGGGCAUCAUUCCUUUCCGUCUCACACGCAGAUUAGUCCAUUGGUGGUUCUUUCUUUCCUUUUUUUUUUUUUUUUUUUUUGAAUAUUUGGUACAUAGAGGCUCCAACUUUUACAAGGAGAAGGAAAAAUAGGAGAGUUUAAGGGUCAAGACCUUACGGUCAGUCACCUAAAAGCAUCCGUGCCAAUUGAGUUGAGUUUUGGGAACAAAAUUUUGGCCUUUCCAUUAUAGCAGGAUACAACUAAAUGCCCGGAUUAAUUAACUCAAUUUCCAUAAAUUUAAAAAAAAAGAGUAAGAAAUUGGUACCUCUGAUCAAUUCCAAGGGUAGAUAUAUAAUAUAAUUAUUAGUCCUUCAAAUGGAGACGAGUGUCAGUAGACUUAAAAGGAGUCCAUGAUAUUGAUAGUUGGUCUUUUGGUCACAAUAAUUAUUUCGAGAUGUUUGAUUCUUCGUAAUGUGGAAUAACUUUCCUCCAGACAUUCUAAAGAAACAUGAUGGAACAAGUUGCUGUUUGUGAGGUCGUAUUAAUCCUGGUGGGAACCUCUCUUGCGCAAGGAUUUUUGGGUAAUGAAUUGAUCUUUCAAGAAAAACGCUACUAUUUACAAAAACAAGUAUUUUUAUGUUUUUCUUCAUUUGUGUUCAAUUCAAUUCUCUAUAAUGUAUAUUAAUAGUACUAUUUAUCUAGAGGGAGCACCUUCAUGAAUGGACUAUCUCUAGAGGUUCUCCUUCACAUUUGACGCGCAGAUUACGCCAUUAGGCAAUUCGGGCGGCUGAGCGGUCAACACAAGGCAACAUCAAAACGUAAAACAGAUGUAAUAGAUGGGAGAAAUUUCUUUGAAACUCCAAAAUGUGAUUGUCGAGUAGAUUAAUGCGAGUCUUAUGAAUUGAUUACAUUUUCAAUCAAUUCAAUCUCCGGAUAAACAUGCAUGCUAUGCCCAAAUAUAGCUCUGUCCUGGUUUUCACGGUACAAGCACUUCUUCAUUCUCAAAGAAGUUAUUAGCAUACUAAAGAAAGAAAAGGACCUAAAAGGAAAAAAAGAAGAAGAAAAGGAUCUAAUUAUACUAAGAAUCACAAAAGUUAGGGGGUGCUUGGUUCAUGCUCCGGAAUUGAAAUUGGAUACGGAAUGAAAUAUAAAAAAAUCAGUAUGGGUAUAAGCUCCUGAUAUCAUUGAAAUAACUACUGCUUGGUACAAUUUUUAGUGGAAUAGGUAUCAAAAUUAUUAUUGCAUUUUUGCCCUAUCUUUUUCUUUGUUGGCUUGCAAACAGAUAUAAGGAACUUUUUUUUUUCAAGAAAAUAUGCGAUAUCCAAUAUUAAAGAACAACAUAUAGUAGAAUUUGUAGAUUCACAUACCAAUUGAGGUUCAAUGACAAAUUAGAACAGCCAAAAUUGUUCAAAAUACAAAGCAAAUAACAACUUGGGAUCCGUUUAUCUCUAACGGCAGCUUGCUUAACAAAAUCCACUAGCAAGGAGGCAACGACCUUUUCCUUCAACAAUACUUAUUAAUGAAUCCAAUCUCCUUAGCAUUGCUGCAAAAGCAUUGUCUGCAGCACAUCAGGCCAUACUUUCUGAUAAUACCAUAAGAGUUUCCACACACACGGCAGGUGCGAGAGCCACAGCCGUGGUUCUUAGGAUGAGAAUUCCAGAUGUUGGAGUGUCCCAUCUCGAUAUCGUCUUCCUCUCUAUCAAGCUUUCAGCGGCUGCUAAUUUCUGCCAAAGCCAACCCUAAUUACUGAAGGCGGAGGAGGCAGAUUUAAGGAACUUUGUGUGGGGUGGCACCAGACUCAAGCCGGUGGGGUUUCUUUCUCAAGUUGAAGUUGAAUCCCUUGAGAUUGCGGCUGUAAAUUCGGACACUGAUUUAAACUCAGGGGUGAGGUUGUGCAGGAGGAGGAGAUGAGUGGUGGGAGUUGAUGGAGGAAGACUAGAGGGAGGAUGACUGAACGAGGAUGAAGGGGUAAGUGGAUAAAAAAAAUGUUUUAUUAAAUUUAUCUUGGAAUCAAAUAUAGAAAUUAACAAAACCCACCAAUUUACUCGGGAAUGGAGAGUUGACAACUUUUUAGAAUUCAUUCCAAAAUCUUCAAUCUCAUACCUAUUAUCCAAGCACUUAAAAUGGACAUCAUUCCAAAUUCCAAAUCCCAUACCCUCAAACCAAGCACCCUUUAGUUUGGUUGAGAAAAGAAAGUAGUACUUUAGAACAAAGGUAGACGAUGAGAUCCUCGAAAUAACAUAAUUAUGAAAACAUUUACUAUAUAUAUAUAUAUAUAUGAAGAACAACAUUUAUUUGGGUUGAAAUCAACUAUAUAUACAUACAUAUAUAUAUAUACAUACAUAUAUAUAUAUAUAUAUAUAUAUAUUCUAGUAGUAGCACUAGAGGGAGGGAGUGCUCUAACAUUGAUUCGGACUAAAACCAAUCAUCUUAUUGGCAAGGUCGUAAGUGACCCGCAUCCCUUGCUGCUGUAUAUUCCCAAGUAGUGACGCGCCUUCCGAAGUGCUGGCAAAAGCCAAACAGUGCUUGCCACUGGUAUCAACACGAAACAAGUAAUUUGCAGGCCUCAACGGCAGCGUUUUGCCCCCAGAGAAAUCAAGCGACAUCGUUGGAUAGCCGUCUGUGGGGUUUGAGGAUAGAUCAUAGCAAGCGUCCAAUUUAAAUAUGCCUUCAGCGUACCCGCUCGUGGGAGGCAAGGCUUGAGCGUACUUAACAAACGUAUCACGGACCGAGUUAUAAACCUCAUCUGGCAACAGAGUUAUGGUGGUGCCCGAGUCAACUACAAUUCCCCCGCGUCCGUCUUGGCCUAUUUGGUAAGCUGAUGCCGGAAUGGGUACUUGUUCUCCAUUAAUGGUAAUCCCCGUGAGCUCCACGUAGUAAAAAAUCCCACUUGGAUUAAAAAUCAAAGGAACGAGGACUGAGUCACCAGGUGGAGCUGAGUUAAACUCAAGGGUCGAGGACUUGCCCGAGUCCAUAUCCACAAGACAGUAGGAGAAGGACGUGGCUUGAAUUUUAGAAGGAAAGCUUACAGGAGUGCCCCCAAGACCAAGUAUCCCAGACGCCCCCACGCUUUGAUUUGUAUGGGCGCACCCGAUGGCUACUUUGUCAACCGAACCUGAACUUCCAAACGACACCGUUUCAGUGGCGAAUUCUCCCACGACGCUGGAUCCCUCUAAGUAGCCCGCUCUAAACAUACACGGGUCAGCAGUGCAAUUUCGGUUUUCGCCCAGGGAGGCACAUUCCUGGGAUGCGCAGGAUAAAAGACUAUAAGAUGAAGACCCAGAUGGGUCAAAGACCGAACCGGACACGCUAGAACAUCCAUCGCAGGGUAGGCAUUGGAGCCAGUUGAUUUGGCUACCCGUAUCCGCUACCAGGAGGAAUUCUUUUACUGGUUGGCCCACUCCGACCUGAGCUAAGUACGCUCCUCCAAAUGGAGUCAGCGUAGUUUCCAGGUCCUCCGGUUGGACUUGGGCGUCCGGUUUAACGUCAUGAGGGCGGUUGAAGGUGGAGAGAGCCCGCUCAAUUUUGGAGUUGAUGAGCUUGGCUCGGGCUCGGUCACUCGCCAGUCGGGAGCGUACGAGGUCGGAGUAGUUGUUGUUUGGCGGCUUUAUGAUGGAUGAAUAAGGAUGUAGGGAGAGGGACAAAACGGAGGAGGUCGAGGUGGGCUGAGCUUUUUCUGUUGAGAAGAGCUGAAGUCUUUUGAAAACUGAAGCAGAGACUGCUUGAGGUGAAAAGGGACUGAGGGGGAAGAAGAAGAAGAAGAGGAUGAUGAAGAUGUUAAUGGAAGGAAAUGGCCUUUGAGCUUCUCGAGCCAUGUUUGUGGGUUUGGAGCAGAAGAGAAGUGAUGAGAAGUUUGGAACGAGCAAGGGUUUAUAUACACGUCGAUCUGCAUGGAGGGCAUGUGGUUAAUUAAUUUAAGACAUGGCUGCAUUCACAUUUUACAAAGGGUACAUAUACAUUUACUAGUCCUUCAAACGAAGACAUGUUCGGAGAAUGUAGAAUAACUGAUAUUCCUUGUUACGAGACAAGAGUCUAGAAGAAGAAUGAAGAGACCUUUUUUUUUUCAAAAAAAAAAUUCUUUGAAGCUUAAUAAGGAAUUUUUAUUCAUGUUAAAUCCGCGAGAACAGCAUCAGACACCAACAGACCCUUCUUCCCUGAAGAAAUGAAGAGAAAAUUAAACAAGUAAUAAUGGUGGGUGCUAUGGGUUAAUAUAUGCAAGUAAUAAUUUUUCGUAAAGAAAUCAUCAAGGGUUUUACGUUAAAAAAAAAUCUUCAAAGGUUUUACAUGCAACGGAUCUUCUGUCCCACACUCUAUACCACUUUCUAUCUUACUUUGUAUUAUAUUGUCAUUUCUCUUACAUAAACAUCAUGUUUUAGUUCUUUUUUAUUUUCUUAAAAUCCAAUAACUAUUAAUUGAGUAAUACACAAAAUUUAACAAACUCAAAAAAUCAAAAUGCAUAAAAAAAUGAGAUUUUUAUGAAUUUUUUGCUGUAUUUUUUAAUUUUCUAUUAUAUAUUGCUUUUUUGAACUGUUAUAUUUAUUUUUAUUCAAUUAAUAGCUAUUGAAUUUUAAAGAAACAAAAAAAAACUAAAAUAUGAUGUUUAUGUAGGAGAAAUAGUAAUAUAAUAAAAAGUGAGAUAGAAAGUGACAAAGAUUACCAGACAGAAGAUCUGUUGCGGAUUUUACAUGCAAAUUCUUUCCCCAAGAGUUGUGGAACACAAGGAAUUAUGUGGCUCUCUAAACUCACACGGUCCACAAUUUUACCUGCGUGGUCCGGGUCCAUCUCUAAGAAGAAGAGACAGUACAAUUGGAAUUUUUUUUGUAUAAUGAAUGCGAUGGCACUUUCUUUGAACAGAGAAAAAUCCUGCAAAGAGGCCAAUCACCAAAUACCGUAGACGUUCAUCUUGACACAUAAACCAUACUUGAAAUCAAAGUUGAAAAUUCAGAUAAUCGUGUUUCAUGCAGAAACUCCCUUUCGGUAUCGCAUGCAUAUUAGGCGACUAAUUAGCUGUCAACGGUACGCAACAUCAAAACAGCUGAUGUGGGACAGAAGAUCCGUUACGUACACAACAUCAAAACAGCUGCACUUUUACCAUUCGUCAACCAAUCAGACCAUUUCGUCUUCUUGUCCAUUUGAUUUAACCUAGAGAAACUCUAGUCGUCAUUCGUUAAUGCUCUUUCUAGUUGUUUAAAUAAAGAAGAAACUUUAAAUUUUUGGUACACAAAAAAAAAAAGAACAAAUGGCCUUAAUUUGAACUCAUUUAUCAAAAACUUUAAUUGUCUAGUCGCCAAAUCUGUAAAUGUAUAAUUGCUUCUACAUAUUUGUCCCUAGCCUAAACUUUUUAGAACUUUAAAAACAAAUUGUAUUGUACACUGAAACAGUUACAUGUCCUAAAUUAGAGUUGCCAAUGAAAGAUGGCCAACAUUCUAGUUUUCAUAGGAUAUUACACUUUUCUAUGGUUUUCAAUUAAUGAGAACCACGAGCCCAACAUUAUGGAAUAGGGGUUGUAUCAAGGCACCGCACCAGAGGGCUCAUUGCAAUUGGAUAGAAUAUUCUGAUGCAGACUCGUUCGACCAGUCUGCAGGUAAAGCCUAUUGACUCAGUGGCGACUAGUCGAUCAAUCAGACAAACCAAAGAAGUUAACCUUCUUUGAUACCCAUUAAUCAGAGCCCACAAAGACCAGGACUUUUUUCUUGCCAAUUUUCGGUAAGGCAAAAACAAAGCAUUAAAGCUGGAAACAAAAAAAGAAAAUUUCCCCUUUUAUAGUUUUAUUAGGUCAAGCCAGGAGCAGGACUAGAAGAAAGAAAAUGUGUUUCUUCCAUUAAUUCUUCGCAACGUAAUUCUUCCUUUUAUGUGUACACUAAUUCUUCACCAGAUCGGCAGACCUUACGAGUUCCAGCUCGAUCGUGCAACGAGCGCAACUGAUAAAUCAUUACAGCGAAAACGGAGAGGAUUUGUCUUGUACGUAUACCUCAAUUGACAUGACCGAAUAUGUGUGGGAAAAGCUAGCUCAAGGAUUAAUCCAGCAAAAACAAUCAAGACUCAACAUAACUUACUAUCAAAUUAAAAUGAAGACAGCAGGGCUGAAUCCAAUCGGCCUUGUAUUAUUUUGCAAGCAUUCAUGUGGAAAAUGAAACAGCCAAUGGAAUGGAAUGGUCGUACAACUCCCUCCUUGCCAGAACUUUAUUCAUUCUAUAUCUAUCGACGAAAUACAUCAUAUAUACCCUGUUUACUAAUCGAAAGAACGAUUAUUUUUCCUAUCUAAUGUGUAUCUGAUCAUGUAUAGACGCAUGACUCAUGUACGUUUUAAAUUUUAUAUCUAUAACAUGUAUUUAAAUUCGUUAAUAUAUGCAUACGCUGUCAGUGUACAAAAUAUAUUUAUUAAAACAAAAUCUUUUAAUUUAUAAAUUUCUCAAGUUCAUUAUCAUGUUUUCAUGACUAAGUUAACCGAUGAAAAAAGGCACUCAAUUGACGGAACUUUUCAACAUAAGUAGAUAACGUCCCAACAGAAUUCAGCCAAAACUUUCGUCGUCCUCUCACGUGCCCGGCGUGUGGAUUAGAAGCAUUCAGUCCUUCGCGCCUUGCGCGUUAGCUUCCCACCUGGCCUCGUUGCCAGUGUCCCAUGUGCUUCUGCUGCAUUCUCUCUUCCCGCUGCCUUCUCUCUGCAGCUUCUCUCUCUCUCUUUCUUCUGUCAUUCUUUUUCCUCUUUUCUCUUUCUCUUCUUCUUUCCACAACAAUGUUGCUCUGUCCUCUCAAUUUCUCUCUCCUUUCCUCUAGGGUUACGUACAUCCUCAUACUUUGUCCAUUCGCUCCUCCUCCUCCUCCGUCGACACACUGUCUCCCUCUCCUCUAUCGGCUCCUUUUCUACCCAGCAUCAGAGGUCCGCUUUCUUCCACUGGCCCUGGGAUUCCCCUUUCGCCUCCUUCUGCUUCAAGUUCAGCCUCGCUGUUCCCUUUUUUUUUUUUAAUACCAUUUCUCCUCCACCGCCACACCUUCUUCCUCUCAUUUAUCUCUCAGCCUUUGGGAGGCCUUUCAAUUCCAUAGCAAGAUCCUCGCCAUCAUCGGCAUCUCUCACUGCCUUUCCUCCCUAGAUCUCCAAACCCUCCGGACCCAGACCCUCGCCCUUUAUAGGCUCGGCUCCUCCAGAUCUCCAGACCAUCCUUGCUUGGAGGAAACAGAGAAAGAGAACAAUUAAAGCAUCUUCCUUUUCCCUUUUUCCUAACCCUAAGCUGACCCGCCUUUCAUCCCCGCCGCUCUUCUCACACUUCCUCUCCCUUUCCUGCCCUUUCUUCUCCCUAUCCCAUCUUACUACGUAUAGUUUACUUCUUUAUUCACCGGCACCCGAAUUCGAGUAUAAUCCUCCUUUGCCGUCCAAAACAACCUGUGGGAAGUUGGAUAAAGGUUUGCCUUUUUUUUUUCCUCAAUCGGUUUUUCAUACUCUGUUGUCUUAUCUUACGAGGUAAUGGGUCUGGAUUUGAAGCAGGUGCAUCAACGAUUGUAAGAUUUUUCUUGGUUGGGUCUUGUCAUCAGAUGCGUAAAAGGAGAGAUGGGGUUUAGUAGCUGUUUCAGUGCAUUUGGUUCUUGCAAGGGACAAAUAAAGCACAUGUGCCAUGAGGUAAGAACCAAGAAUAUUUCAAUUUUUAGUUUAGGCUUGAAUGGAGGUUUUUCUCAAUUAUUGCUAAAUUUGAGCAUGGUGAUAAUUUUGUUGAUUGGAUUUAACAGUUUACGAAUAAGUAAUUGAACCUGAAUUUAUGUUUCCCGAUUUCCAAUUUUCAACUCUAGAUAUUCCCUAGGCAAUCACAACCUUCAAGCUUCUCAUCAUAACUAUGCGUCCUUAGGAAACAUCUGUUUUUUCUAACUUGAUAAGUGGAGUCGAUCCAUGUAUUCUUAAGGUAGCUAUGUUACCCAGUUUAGAGUUGUUUGGUUCAGAAAAAGCUCCAAAGUCAGGUUUCAAUUUGAGCUUAAUCUAAGCGGGACAUAAGUGCCUUUAGCGGCUCACAACUUAGAUAACAGUUUCAGUUCAAAGAUAUAAGAACCUGAAUUUUUUUUGUGAGAUUUAUACUGCAUAUUUUAGGAUGGGUGUUAUGGUUUCAUCUGAAUAGUGCAUAUACUAAUCUACAACUCUUUUCCAUGAUUUUGUAUAUGAUCACUUCUGAUUCUCUGGUUUUCUAUCUGCUUCUGCAUGGUUAGAGCUUGCUACCAGCAAUGUUAGGCUAUUCUCAUACAACUCUUUGAGGUCAGCAACAUGACACUUUCUCUCCUCAAACUAGAAUAGGAGGCGGCAGUUUUGGAGUAGUAUACAGGAUAUGAUCAAUCUUAGUUUGUGUGUCUGCAUAAGUUUUACUUUUAUGGCAACUUUGAUUCGGAGAGUAAUAUAGAGGAGAGGAAUGAGGAACUAAGCUAUUAUGGUACCUUACCAAUAUCAUUCUUAUGUUCGGUCCUCCUCAAUUUGUUAGCUCUUCAUAGAGGCUCUUAUCCAGUUUUUUGUACUUUUACCUUCUUGCAUCUCACCUUAAAAUUACUUGUUAGAGAAUGAAACAUGGUGCAAUGAUAUUGACAUGUGUGUAAUUCCUUAUGAGCUGGUGGAUUAAAACUUCUGUUGGCUAUUGAAUAAGAUGAGUAAAUUUCUUAUAUCAAGAAUUCAACAAGAAUGAAACAGGCAGACCUUGAUAAUUGUCUACUAUAUGAUGGUUUAUAUGUGUAGAUAUGCAUUCAAGUGUCAUCGAAAAUCUGGAGCUGGAAGGGACAUUGUCUACCCCAUUGAAUUCAAUUGCAUUUCAUCUUAUAUAAGUGGUGCAUAUACAUUUAUCCACAAUAAAGAGAUUAUUGUUCAGCAGUCAUUCAUUGGAAGUUGGAUUGUAUGGCCUCUUUUUUUUUUUUUCAAGUUUUGUUAAGAAAGAAAAUCAAUGCUAAGAUAUUUCACUAGUGGAGCUGGAUCUAUUACAAUUUUCUAUUGAUUGAAUAUCUUUAGCCUCUUCUUGUAAUCUAUCUCAAAACUGAUUUAAAUAUGCAGCUAUGGUACAUUUGCUACUGGGGGUUGUGAUGGUUAUGUUAGUGUGUGGGAUGGAAACAACAAAAAAAGGCUGUAUCAGGUACUUUUUCCACACUGAAUUUGAAAUGUCUUCAACUUCAUGCUGACUGUAGACACCAAAUUUUUGGUGUAAUUUCUUUUACUUUUUAUUCUCAUUUAUCGUGGUUGCUUUUAGUUUUUUUUAGUUUCUAGUUUCUAUUUUUAUUUUUAAGUUUUAGCGUAGAAAAAUCAUGAAAAAAGAGAAAAAGGAAAAUUGUUCACAAAAUAGGUUUAUUUCUUUUUAAAUUCAAUCUUUUGACUUUAUUUAUUUUUUGGUUAGGUUAUUUCGAAAACAAAAGAAAAGUGAAAAAUGAAAAUGAAAAAUGGAAAUUUGCAUUUUUUGUUGUUUUUAGUUUAUUUUUAUCUAAUGUUAAUUAAGUUGUUUUCAUCAUUAAUUAUUAUUGUUUUAUUAUUAUCAUUUUUGUUGUUUAAUUAAUUAAUUAAAAAAUAAAAAUAAAAAUAACAUUUCCAUCUCUGCCGGAGUGCAUUCCCUUCCCUCGACACACACACUCAACCUCCACUACCGCGAAUCACUCCACUACCUCAGCCUCAACCACAAACACUCCAUCUCCAUUCUCCACCUCGUGAUCAUCGACGAGAGCAAGAGAGGGAGAACUCCUCGGAUUGAGCAGGAGAAAGGUGAAGAGAGAGCGAGCCGCGAGCUGUAUUUCUGUUCUGUCCGAGGAAGUCAAGCGAGAGAGAGAGCAAGAGGCAGUCGAGUGAGCUACUGAUCAUCACCAUCUUCACCAGUUCCAAUCGAAACACCACAGCUUCAACCAUCCGCAACCAGGACCAACACAUCCAACCGCGAGCGAGCAGAGAGGAGAGAAACAUCAGCUUUCUGUCGUCUGAGUGAGCUUUCGGUGAGCUACAACAACACCCUCUACCUUGGAAUCAUCGAAGUGAGGAAACCAGCGAGGGAGAGGGAGCUGCCAUUCCAUUUUUCACCCUCAACUAGCCGUGAUCAAUUCAGUCACAACCAUUACAGCUGCAACCACUGAAUUCAGACUAACCAUCCUCGCGUGCGUGAGCUGCCGAGAGGAAAAAUUGCAGCUGCUGUCCGUGUGAGCUUUUCAUCCAUUUCCUUUCGUCUGUAAACUAGAAAGAGAUUGGGAGCCAUAUUGUCUUCAUACUGGUCGCAAGCUAGAGCAAGGGAGAAGGAGAGUUGCGGACUGAAAUUCUGGACAGCCGAGAGUAGAGGAUUUUUGCAGCUGCUAGUUGCGUGAUUUGAGCCUUAAGCUGAGGUAAUUUCUGGACUUAAGCUAGUUGAUUAUGGCUUGAUGAAGUUGUUUAUAAGCAUGCAUGUGAGAUUGUGUGGCUAGAUGAUAGUUUAAGUCACAGAAAAAUCUGUUUGAGAAGGAAGUGAAGCUGCCGAGAGCUUGAGCUGGAAGUUUCGGUUUUUUUUUAAUUUGCUAGUUGUGAUGAUCUGAGCUUAAUUUUGAACUCAACCUGCUAAAUAGUUCUUUAUUUGGUACUGCAUGUGAACGUUAUGGGCAGGAUUUCGGUUGCAUGGCUGGAUUUUUUUUUAUUGGAAGUAUUAGACUGCUAAACUAAUUUUCCAGCUUUGCCGAGAAGCUGAAAUGGAAAUGCAAUUUUAAUUUCGUUCCCCUGAGGCAGGCUGAGCUUAUAAAUGUGAUUAACUAGCUAAGAAGUAGGUGAUUAAGCUUUGCAUGAAGUUCAUUAGUUCGGCUAAGCAAGGAAAAAAUAUGAAACAGAAAACUGCUACAUGCAAGUUCAUCCGAGGGUGGUGAACAGAAUUUCUGGAAUUGUGGAUGAUUAUAGUUGCUGACCGAACUUGAUUUGAACUAGUUAUGAUAGUAAUUUCAUUAAGUAGCCUUGCAUGUUAGUUUUGAGUACUUAGCACAAUGAUUCAACCGAGGUAAAUUCGGAUUUAAGACCAACUACCUGCUGGAAAAUGCAUAUUCAUUUUUUGCUGCACCAGAAAUUUACGGUUGUGUCUUGCUAUUUUCUUCCAUUGCGGUUCCAAACUUUGCUGUUUUUGUUAGAUAGUAAUUCCAGCCUUGACCGAAAGUUGUAGUUUGUAUGCAUGAGAAGCUUAACAGGAUUUUGAGCAUGGGUUUGUGAUUCGAAAUGCUUGAGUGCAGCUUCCAUGCGAACUGCCUAAGCUCAAAAGAUUUGUUUGCUGAAGUUUCAAACCUUUGAUGUUUUGCUAAUUUUUCUGUUUGAAUGAAGUUGCUAAUUUUUCUGUUUGUUUGAAUAAAGUUGCUAAGUUUUCUGUUUGUUGGGUCUGAAUGAAAUUGGUUGGUUUGGAAAAUUUGAUCACGGUUGUGAUUAAGAAGCUUGAGCUUGAGAAGAAAGUGCAGCAGUCUUCGGUUGCUAGAGUAUGUGAAGUAAUUGCAGAAACUUGUUUCAUGGCUAUUGCAUAGAACUUGCAUGUUUUUUCCUUCUAAAUUUUCUACCUGUUGAGGCGAUGGUGAUGACAUAGUUUGCAGCUUAGUUAAAGCUAUGUAUGUGAGCUUGAGAUCUGUUUUUUUUUGGAAAAUAAGAUGUGAGUUUGAAUUGGGUUUCGUUUGAGCAAACAUGAGAGAAAAUAUUGCAGAAACUCACUUUGAAUUUGAUUUACCUGUUUGUUUGGUUGUUAGAUUCAUGCUUUAAUGUGUUGGUUAGAAGAUUUUUCGAUCAAAAUGGUGUUAAGGUUGAGAAAAUGAAAGUCACGGUUGUCUUCUGGGUUGCCGAAAGCUUUCAGCAGAAAUUUCUGCUGCAGAAUGUUGUUUCUCAUGUUGAUUUUCACGUAGCUUGCAUGGGUUUUGCAUGAAAUAAUUUCUGAAAAUUACAUUUUUAACCCCCCAAGUCCCCUCUUGACUCACUAGGGCCCAAGUAAUUGGAACAUUUAAUCAAUUUGAUCCUUUUAAGUUUCUUUUUGUUCCACAAGAGCCCAAGCAUGUUCUAGUAUCUUGUAAUUAAGUCCUAAAAUCAUUGCAACUUCAAUCUUUGUUUGACUUUUCCUUUAUUUUUAAGAUCUUUGAAGUGCUUAAACGAUUUAUUUGGACUUGAAUGUUCGAGUAAUGCUUGUUUUGGGUCUUUAGUAGAUGCUAUAUUUGGAAAUUGAACGGGUUAUUCCGUUUUCUUGGUCUUUAAGCAUUUUUUGAGCUCAUUCAAGUUGCAAUUAGGUGGUUUUUGAUGUUUUUGCUUAUACUUUACUUUUAAAUUGAUGCCUUGACCCCUUUAUUGUUUUGAAGCCAUUUUCCUUCAUUUGCUUACCAUUAGGGGAAGGUAUAACUUUCUUUUAUCCUCUUUACUUCUCUCUUACGUGCUCCUACGUGUUACGUGAAUUGCAUGUCUACUUGGCUUUCUUAAGUUUUCUUUAAUUCCUUUCAUUUUUAAGUCUUUCUUUUAUUUAUGGGGUAUGUGUACACCUCUUGGCUUGUAAUAGAUAGGGCAUUGGAGAGCACUUUGUCCAUUUUUCCCCCUUCCCCCAUUUGUCUUAGUUAGCCCAUGUAAUAGUUUCAUUUGCUUUUGGGGUAUUAUUUGGUUUGCUAUGUGUUUAAUUUGCUUUAUUAAGCUAUUGCAUCUAGUCGAGCAUGCUAAGUGUUAUGUGCUACGUGUUAUAAGUGAUUUUGCAUGUCUACUUGCUUUCUAUAUUUAUAAAUGAAUGUGAUGGAUGAAUGUACGUUUCCACUAGUCCAACGCUAGUCGGAAUUCAUAGAAUGGGCUAGUCCAACGCUAGACCCUUAGGGACUUCCCCUCGUUAGUACAUGUUUGCAUGUUCAUUACAUGUCAUGCAUUUUUUUUAAAUUUUAUCAUUUUGCAUGCCCCUCGAACCCCUUUUCCCUCCAUUUUAGGAUUUUUGCAUUUCAUACUAGUUAUAGGGUUCAUCUGCUUGAGGGUCCCCUUAAAUAUGGGAUAUAGACGAGUGUGGCUUUUUCUAAGCCUUAGCACGCUUGUAUUCCCUCUAUAAAAGGGCAAAUUGAAUCACGAUUUAGGUCUCCCCGUAC
rnacentral:lncRNA from 1 species